CCCACCUCCCGAUCAAGCCAUCCAGCCGCCUCUCCUCGCCCUCCUGCCUGCGCGCAUCUCUCUAGAGCUUAAACUCUCCUAGAGAGAUCUCAGGCAGCCCCAAUAACCAACCGCUCGACCCAACUCGUCGUCGUCGUCGUCGCAGAUGGCCGGCCUCAGGAUGAAGCUCGUCGCCGCCGCCGCCGUGGCCGCCGCGCUCGUGGCGUCCGCCGCCGCCCAGGCCCCCGCGCCAGCGCCCACCUCCGACGCCUCGGCCGCGGUGCCCCUCGCGGCGGCGUCCUUCGCCGCCGCCGCCUUCGGCUACCUCUUCUGCUAGAUCCGUCGUCCGGGGAUGCCGUCGUGCUCCCUGGCCGGUCGGGCCUGCUGAUGAUGAUAUGAUUCGUUUUGGCGUGAGUCGAGUCCCCUGUUCGUGGCGCGUGUUGAGGGAUGUCGGUGGGCGUGUGUAUGUACGAGUCGGCGGCGGGUGGAGGUGUGCGCGCGUGUUGGAUACGUGCGUCGACGCGCCACUCUUUGUGGUGGAGAUCAUGUACCCGCUGCGCUUCUGUUUAUCAAUGAGAUGAUUUAUUUGAUUCUUUUCAUCUUAUAUACAAUAUACAUGAGAAUUGCGUAUUCAGUUUGUUGUGUUUUGCUCUGCAAACUUGCGAUGUGCAGAUUGUUGUAAAACACUGUCGAACGAUUCUCCCUCAAUCGAGUUCUUCCGUUGCAAAGAAAAAGAAAACGGUGCAUCUCUCUUAAAAAACGAUUACUAUUCUUACGACCUGAAAAUUAAGGGGUGCAGGCUACAGUUCAAACAUGUAAUUGGAAUCUGAAAUCGAUUUGACCGACUAAGGAACUCACCAUCUGAACUCUAAGCCCUUGUUUACUUCACCCCCAACUCCCAACUUUGGCACUAUGCAAAAAGAAGAUUCCCCAUCACAUCAAACUUGCGGUACAUGCAUGGAGUACUAAAUGUAGAUGAAAUUAAAAACUAAUUGCACAGUUGUUGUACUUUGCGAGAUGAAUCUUUUGAGCCUAAUUAGUCAAUGUUUGGACAAUAAUUCACAAAUACAAACGAAACGCUACAGUGUGCUACAGUGCUAGCACAGUAAUUUUACAUCUCCUAAUUUGACCAGCUAAACAAGGCCUAAGCAAAACGACCGGCAUAACGACUUUCAUUUAUGACCAACCAAUUCAGAAUUGACAAGCUUUAUUUUUCCUACCUCCCUCGAAAAGAAUGCUGUGGCACGGAGUCCUUGUGAAGUUCGUUAGGAGAUGCCGGGCCGGGGUUGCUUAAUCAGUUUGGUGAGGGAUCCGAACGUUGAAAUGAUUGAAGCAUGUUGGCGUCGCCACUUGCCAGCCAAGAAGCCAUGUGCUGCUCGUUAAGCACUGGUCCACAGAUGAGUUGUCUUGGUAGGGGCAGCCGUACCCGCUGUAUCACCGCUGGCAUGCUCCAAGCUGGAAAUGGUGAGCCGUCGCAAUCGCUGCAGUAUUACCCGACUAGUAUGUGCUUUAUGGAAUUGCAGGACUGCUUAAUUUUGACCGUGCUCGUGGAUUUAGAUGCUGGUCGAUGGCUCCAGCUCGAUGCCUUUUCCUACUGUACUGGCUACUGCCGACCGAGAGUCUCAGAGCGUGCAGAAUGCAGGUCGAGUUCCGCAAAGUUGUUGGCGUACACAGCUGGGGAUUGGGCCAGUGCCAGCUCUACACACCACUGGGCCACCUUUGUGUUUUCUCCGGCCUGCUUGAAAAUGUAUUGGGCCAGUUUGUUGGGCCGCUUACUUACAUCUGUGCUCAGCUAAAUCCAGCGAGAACAAUGGAAGAGUUUUUGGCUCUAUACAACAAAUCUUUUGGUUUUUUCCCCCCCUUUCUUUUUCAUCCACAUAAGACACCCACGAUGGCGUUUAUAUUUGUAAGAUAACUGAGUUGCAUUUUUAAGUGCCUCAUUUCUGGAUUAUCGGGCAGCUUCUGAAAGGAAGCUCCAAUUAUAGUAGACGAAGUAGAAGGUUUUUUUUUCGAUUCAAGACCUGGAACGUAGGUAGCUAGAGUCUACGCACUGCAGUUACAUACUGACAAAUUGCAAUGGCGAGUCGGCGACCGACAAGCAGAGGCCAGGCACAGCUGCGUCACAUGAACUCGCUCAUCAUGGCGAGCACCUGCGCCAUCGUGGGCCUCUCCUCCGGCGCCUCGGCGGUGCACAGCACGCCGAUCUUCACCAUCCCCAUCGUCUCCUCCCCUUCGCCGCCUUCCUCGCCGUCGGCGGCCUUGUGGUCCGUCACCACCUCCAGGAGCACCAUCCCGAAGCUGUACACGUCGGACUCCUGCGUCGCCCUCGCGCCCGCGCCCGACGCCAGCUCCGGCGCCGCGUACCCGUGCCACCCGACGCUCGCCGCUGGCGGGGCCGCCGACGACGUCGCGGUCGCCGCCCGGCCCAGGAACAGGUCCGGCGGGCACCGGGCGGCCUGCGGGACGACGGACUGCUGGAUGUUUGUGGCGUAGCGCAUGAGCCCGCACUCGGACACGCACGCGCCGCCGCGCUCGUCCAGGAGGAUGUUGGACGGCUUCACGUUCGCGUGCACAAGCGCCGGCCGCGCCGGGAACGUGUGGAUGUAGUUCAGGCCCUGCGCCGCGCCGAACAGUAUGCUCUUCCUCCCCGCCCAGUCCAGGCUCCUCGCGCCACCACCUGCAGCAACAACAACGGCCCGUCAGGAACACUCGCUUUCUUGCACCGACUGCAAAUUGGCAAUGCAUUUGGGAUUUCAUUAUCUCAUUUCAGCGCGACGACGCACCACUGGCUUGCAGAAGGGACUGGAGGCUCCCGUUGGGGAGGAAGUCGUAGACGAGGAGGCGCUCGCCGUUGGAGUUGCAGUACCCCCUGAGGCUGACGACGUGCCGGUGGCGGAGCCGGCCGACGAGCCGCAUGUGGCGGUCGAACGCCUUGCUCCGGCUGGCGGGGAACUGCAGCGCGCUCAGGCGCUUGACGGCCACCACGAUGCCGUCGUCGAGCACCGCCUUGUAGGUGCUCCCGGACACGCCCUUGCCGAGCACCUCGGCGGACGCCUUGAGGAGGCUCUCCAGCCGCAGCUCCUCGCCGCCCUCGAAGCAGACCAACCCGCCGCUCUUCUGGCACUUGUCGUCCCCGUUCGCCCUCUUCUCUUGCUCCUCGAAGGAGAGUGCCGCGUCGGAGGCGUCCUUCGCCGACCGGAGCUUCCUCCUCAUGUAGACGAACAUGGCCACGGAGAUGGCUAGCGAGACCGUGAUGAGCACUGCGUUGCCAAUGCCGGUGGCCAUGAGUGCAGUCAAGCUAAGCUUACUGAAACCUCCAUUGCUGGAACUGGAAGGCACACUACCACUAACGUUCACUGCAGCACCAGGAGAUUGAGCAGCGAUACUGGUGGUAGCAUUGGAAGAACUAUCCGAUCCUAACGCAUUAUAAGCACGAACACAUCUUGGCAGAGGCGUGCCACAGAGAGCGAGAUUGCCGCCGAAAGUCGACCUCGGGAACCUGGACAGAUCGCCGGAGAUCUCCCCAGCGAGCUUGUUCCCGGACACGUUCAAGCUCCUGAGCGACGGGGCGCGCAGCGCCUCCAGGCCUCCACGGAAGCCAUUGUGCUCCGCUCUAAGCGUGAGCAGAGCACCCAGCGAGAUGUUCAGGCUCCCGGUGAGCCGGUUGCGGGCGACGAGCAGGUGCCGCAGCCACGGGCUCGCCGUGGCGUCGUCCAGCGGGGGGAGGGCGCCGGACAGGGAGUUGUUCCUGACGGCGAGCGCCCUGAUAUGGCUGAGCCGCAGGAGCGGCGCCACCUCGCCGGCCAGCGAGGCGCCGUCGAGGAAGACCCCCACCACCCUGCCCCUGGAGCACCUGAUCCCGAACCACGUGCCGGAGCACGGGUUGGGGCCGUGCCAGGUCGCCAGGGCCGUGGCGUUCGGGUUGUAGGACUUGAAGGAGAGCAGCGCGGGCAGGUCCUGGUGGCCGCCAUUGCCGACCUCUCCGUGCACAGAAGGUACCGAUAGGUGGUAGACGAGGACGGCGAGGAGCAGGAAGGUGGAAUGGUGGAAACGAGGCAUUUUGGUAGCUGUAAGAAUUUUCUUCUGUGUUUGACCGAGAAAUCUAUCCACUCGUUUUAUAGCACGGGCCGGUAACAAUUCAGCGCGGGGAAGUAGAAAAUUUUGAAUGGCGCACGAGCACAAAGGCGUGGAACGACGACGAGCAGAGGGGUCCAAAGAGGAAAGCUGGGUACCUGCGCCGACGUCGUGGGUGGGUGUCGAUGCUGAGGUCGUGGGGAGGAGGGUGGAGGUGAAAAGCGGCGCCAUGGAGGACAGGAGGAGAGGUCCAAGGGGAUGGGGAGCUGACGAGGUGCCCUUUUUCCUCCCUUGGGCAGAAGGAACUUGGACGUAUCUGGUGGGCUGCACGUAGCCGUGAUGGUCGUCGCGCCGGGGAGAUGCUGGUGCUCGCUUCGCUUUACGGAAGCGGCCGAAAGGAAGCAAGAGGGCUCGGGGUUCCACGGCGCGUGGUGGAGUAUCGGGUUCACGAGACGAGACGGGAGUAGCGAGUGGGGACGUUGGCGUCAGGUGGCGCCACGCACCGGUAGGGGAGCAGACAGGAAUGGAUUCCAGCUUCACGUUGCACUAGUCCCCCAGAGUCACAGUGAACCCGGAACACUGAACUGGGUUCAGGUGUCGGGGCAUCUAUUGUUGGGUCCGUUCGUGCUGUGGGCCGAGCCAGGUCUUGCCACCCGAUCCAGCCCAGUAACCGGAGUAGCCAAGAUUUUGUUGGGGCGUCGGGUUCAAACUUCAAAUUGGCAGGUGGAGACGCUUCCAAACGGGUUCAUAGUGAGUCAUUGCUACUGGUACUACGGAGGACUAGGAAGGUUAAUUAUCAUUAUGAACAGUGUUAGUUAGCACCGUCGUCUGAAUGAAAGGUCAUGACAUGCUCGUGAAACCUCGAUUCUAAUGUAUGCGCGCAGUUUUUGGUAUAUCAACUCAGAACUCGACUGGUGGUGUGGUGAGCACAAAAAUGCAUCUUGUUUUUUUUUCCCACUAAGGGCUACGUCCAAAUUUCAUUACUGUUUAGGCAAUGAAAUUACAGAGUAUGAGAGUUGUCGACACCAUGGUCACACCAGAGAUUACAAAAGCAUCUCCAGGAGGACAGGUGCAGACGGCCUUUCCACCUGGGAGGAAUAAAGCGAGCCUACUUAUUACAUGACACAGAACUAACAGCAUGCUAAACAUCUCACAGCCAACCAAACUAGGAACAUUUCUCAACCAGCCUCCAAAGUUGCUUUGAGCAUCACACUGUAUCCAGACUUCCUGGCUUGAUUUGGGACAGCACUUCUUCUCUUUUUUACUGCAGCAGUACCAUCCCUGUGUCGUCGGUUGUUGCUUCACGGGGGUGAAAGUGCAACGCCGUCGCCUUCAUUGCAUCAGCGCCAGCCUCCAGGAUCGUCCUCCCCUCCGGCUUAUGAAGACCUGCUCAAUAUGAAAUGAAAACAGAUGCUGAACAUAUAAUCUCUGAAGGAGAUUUGACCUAUUUUUUAUCAAAGCAAGCAGCAUUUCUAGCUUUCCAGAGUGCCCAGCAGACCGCUGACAGCCCCACCACAUGGAUGUUUUUGUUUUGUGACAUAUACUAUCUAGUCCAUUCCCAAAAUUGGGCAAAGGUAGUUGGUCUACAUGGAGCACCAAUUACCAUGGCAAUAAGGCUCCAUACAUACCUAGCCAAGGCAUAUCCAAAGAAAAGGUGUUUCGAUGUUUUCUUCCAUAUGACAGAAACAACAGCUUUUGUCCCCCUGCCAGUUGCGUUUUAUAAGGUUGUCUUUAGUCAGAAUAGCAUCUUUUUGGAUUAACCACAUAAAGAUUUUUAUCUUCAAAGGGAUUUUGGCUUUCCAAAUAUUGUCAUGAGGACUGGGUAUAGACUACCGCCUCAUCAUCGACACAUCGAACAACGAUGGCAAGGAUGCCAAGUACGAGGCGGUGGUUCAUGAGAAAAACUGGGGAGACCAAAUCACUCUCUUGUCCUUUAAGCGAGCAGACUCUCAGCAACAAUUGGCAUGAGCAUGUUAAUCACUCUCUUGUCCUUUAAGGAUGCCAAUGAUUUGUAGUAGGGUUGCCACCUUGAUUAAUGCUUAUCACUACUUGCUCUACAACUAUUGCAUUUUGUGUUUACUCCAUUUAGCGUCCUUUCGUUACGCCUUGCUUAAUGCUUAUCACUACUUGCUCUACAACUGCUGCAUUUUGUGUUUACUCCAUUUAGCGUCCUUUUGUUAAUCGUUGAAAUGGCGUGGUAGCUGCUGCGUAAUGCGUAUCAUGUAAUUUGGCAUCUCCAAUAUAAAUGGGAUUUUCAGCCUAAAUAAAAUGUGAUUGGGAAAUUUGGCUUCCCACUUUUGUACAUGAUGCAAACGGUCAUAUACAUGCACACACAAUUACAAAUACACGCACGCUAGUUCGAUCUUCAAGUUUAAUAUAGUUUCAGCUGUUCAAACAUUGGAUUGAACAUGACCGAUCCAUUUGAAAGUAGAUUGCUUUCAAACACAAAACGUGGAUUGCGUUAAAUAUUUUUAUUAGACAUAUUAGGAAUGUAAAAGUCAAAUUUAUAAUAAUUUAACCAAACAUUAGUCAAAUUCUAUAAAUCCUCAGUAUAAAAGUUAUAUGGAUGAAUUCAAAUAUGAAAUAUCUUACUUCUAUACAUCUAAUAGUAUAUUGUAAUAGAAACUAUAUCAGUCAAUAUAUAUCUAUAAAUAUUUUCAAAUCAUCAUGUGCCUACUAAAAACAAACAAAGUUAAUGUUAUGGUUGUGAUUUUAUUGCUACAAAUAUUACUAGUAUUAUAAGAGCAUCUGCAGCAGUCUCCCAAUAAAUAUUUCCCAAUAACUAGUUAAUAGGGAUAUUCCAAUAUCACUUUCAUCGUUAUUGGGAGAGUUGCUUUUGCAGUCUCCCAAUAAUUUCAUCCCAAUCCAACUACCGUAUUGAGAGAGUUACAACUCCUUUAUUUAGGGAGAGUUGGGAUGAAUUAUUGGGUUGUCCCAAUAAUUAUUGGGAAAAGGGAAAGUUAAAGGAAGACUGUUGGAACACUAUUUUCUUAUCAACUCUCUCAAUAUGAUAGUUGGAUUGAGGAAAGGGAGAUUGCUAAAGAUGCUCUAAUAAGCUAUGUAUUCAAAACAAAGUGGUCAUGCGGGUAUUAGAGUUGUGAUCCGAAAUAACGGCAGGAAAAUUCUGUUAUCUGCAUGGCGAGUCAUUUUUUAUGCAGUGAGCGUACAGGAAGUGGAGGCAUUGGCAUGCAAAGAAGGGUGGCCCUUGAAGGGAGCCCGCGAUCUUAGAGUUAGACUGCAGUGCGGUCAUUCACUAAAUCAAGGAAGCGAGUAAGAUGAUACUAGCUAGCAUAAUUUUUCACGGUCUAGAAGGCUAAGCGCCUAGCGGAAAGUCUCCCAUGUCUCGUUUUGAGUCAUGUAAAGAGAUAGCAGAACGUAGUCGCACAUGAGCUUGCGAAGCAAAUCGCAAUGUAGUGUGGUGUGAUCAUCCCCCACUUAUAUGAGCAUUUGAUUGCUCAUGCCUGUAAAUUUUUUUUUGAGCAAUCAAUAAAGCGCUCUCUCUUUUUUAAAAAAAAAUUUGCAAAGAAAGAGACUACGAAUCAAAGUUGGAGAAUGUGACGAGUCAAAGCAUAUUGUGAAAUGGAGGCAGCAAAAUCCUAACGCUUCCUGUCGCAUCGACGUUCGAGCUCUGUGUACUUAAUUGAUUGCCACGUAGAAGCCGAAGAGUGCAGCGUCGAUUCAACUGGCGCGCGUCUAGACCCUAUAAAAGGACGGGGUUUCCAAGGCAGCACUGCACCGAUGCUUGCUCUGCACCAGCAAAGGCAGUCAAACUAACAGUACGCCGGGCACCGGAAGAUCGAUCGACCAGGCAUGUCGCCGCCGCCGGAGCAGGACAGGAGGCUUGGCGUCGUCAAGCCGGAGCCCGAUCCCAUGAUCAAGCUCAAGGUGCUGGACAACGAGGGUCGCAGGGUCUUCCACUCCAUGAGGAUGUCCGACAAGCUCCAGGCGGUCAUGGAUGCGUACUACGCGAAGGCGCCCGACGUGACCUACGGCUCCGGGACCUUCAUGUUCGAUGGAUCCAUCCGGCUGCGGGGCAGCGAGACGCCGGCGGAGCACGGUCUGCAAGAUGACGACGUGAUCGACUCCUACGAGGACCUGGUGGGCGGCGGACGGGACGACGCCUGAUGCACCGGACCGGCGGCUGAUCGAUCGAUGGCCGCGCGAGUACGUCGUAGCAGUCGUUUAAUGGAUGUCGUUAUAUUAUCAUUCGCCAGUCAUCACUAGUCUCCAAUUAUUACAAAGACGUAUCAUCUACUAGGAUUCAUCUUUCUACUAUACAUGCAAGGUGGAUCCAAUAUGUUCUCUUGAAACUUUGUUAUUGAUGCAUCUUCACAGUUUACCUGCUGAAUUCAACUGUCAAAACUUUUCUAAGGCCCCGUUUGGAUCAUUGGAAUUGAAUUCCAUCCUAAUAAUCAUAAUUUAGACACAAAUUAAUUAAACUAAUAUAAUUGUAUGUGGAAUAUAGUUGUAUAUUAUAGUUGGUGAUAUGGGAGAGAUACUUGUAUGCUGCACUUCUACUAUAGAGAAGCGAGUCUAAGAGCGUGCUAUAAGAAUUGAAUUCCAUUCUAAUAACCAUAAUCUAUAGAAUCAAUUUCCAUCUCCCACCCCAUGAAUUUAAAAUAGGCUUAUAUCUAAACUUUGGAAAGUUGUGGAAUGCCACAUUCCAACAUAAAUUAGCCUACUCCAUUAAAUAGAUUCCAAUUCCUUGGACCCAAACGGGGCCUAAGCGAAAUGAAGCGUUCGUGGUAUAGCACUUGGAUCAUCCACGGCCCGAUGAUCGAUUGCCCAGGCGGCUGAGAUCUCUUUAGUCGUCUAGAGCUCACGGGGGAAUUCCGAAGAUGCGUUCGGGGCAUUCGAUAGCUUAGCCGCGUCCUGGUACGUCAUGAUUCAUGAACAGUUUGAUCUGGUAAAUUAUGAUUUCAUUGAAGACAUUGCCGUUCCAUUUUCUAUUGAUGAAUUUUUUUAUUAAUCUUCUCGUAAAAAGUUUUUGACGAGGCACUUUAUGCGAUCCAUUGCUUACGAUAUACAUCAAGUUCAACAAAGUGGUUUGGCCUUUUUUUUAGAUAUGCAAAAUAUAAAUCUAUUGAUGCAACUUUGAGACAUGAAAACAUAUAAUUUGACUACUCUUGGAGUAAAACCUACAAAUUAAAGUAUUGACUAUUUGAUACACCCUACGUAAAGAAACAGAGUAAGCAAUGCACGUCAAGCAGACAAAUGAUACGAUCAAGUUCAACAAAUUAAAGUGGUUAGUGGUGAGAAGCAGAUUUUGGUAGGCAUAUACUUCCGUCUCAUCAUCGAUGCGUCGAACAACAAUGGCACGGAUGGCAAGUAUGAGGCGGUGGUGCACGAGAUGGAUUGGGGAGAAAAACUCUCCCUUGAGUCCUUUUAAGUCGGCUAAUUGAUCUACAAUUAGAAUGACCGUCUUAAUGCAAUUAUCCUAAAUAAUGAUGUCAAGGUGUAUUUUCAUGCCUUUGGAUUUUUUUAUGGUUAUAUACAAUUGUCUCAGGAAGCUUGUGCCUCAAGCAUGUCUCUCUCCUAGGAGUAGAUCACUGCCUCACUGGAGACCACAAGAUCAUAGAGCUUCCGACUAAAGUGAGCAGUUUCUUCGAGCUUCUGAGUUCACCAGAAAGAGCGAGGUUGCUACUAAAGGGAGCAGUUUCUUCGAGCUUCUGACUAAAUCGAUCCAAAAUUAUGUCAAACAAUUUCCACUAAAUUACAAGAUAACUAUAUAUUGCAGGAGCUGAUGUGAUAUGAAUCCACUAAAUCACUUCCAAGUUGUAUUUGAACAAACUGUCCAUCGGUUUCCAUCCAUUUCGCCGGAAUACAAGCUCUUAUUAGUAAGGGCUGCAUGCAAGGACUGUCUUAAUUUUUUGCUGUAAGGUAAAACUAGUUGUCAAUUAAUUUCAGGCCAAUCAUUUUCUACUAAAAAUUGCAAGAUACUACUUAAUUUGACACAUCCAAUUAAUAUUUUCCAAAUUGUAUCGAACACCCUGUCCAUCAGCCAUUUGUUGGCAACGUCACGAGGCUAAGUGCUAUUAAAUGCCUCAGUCGUGUCUCCAAUCUUCAGCAAAAACUAUGAACCUGCCAAUCUUGUUAGUACUUCAAUAGACUUCCUCGAUUCUAAAUUAUAGUUCACUUUAGCGUUGUUCUAAACCAAACUAUUCUCUCUGACUAAAUGUAUAGAAAAAUAGAACAAUAUCUACUAUCAGCAUAUUUCUUAGCAGAUUCAAUGAAACUAUAAUUUGACGUUAUAGAUCUUAAUGCCUUUUUUAUGAACUUGAUCAAAGUUAAAGAGAUUUGACUCAGAACAAUACUCGUAUAUACUACUUACAUUUUAAAAGAAGUAUAAAAUAAAGUAGUUAUUGUAAUGAAUGUAAAAUAAGCUUAGAAGAAACCUCAAUGACCAAAUUGGGACUGCAGAAAGUACUUUCUCCACCCUAUUACUGGCUCCGCACGCACAAGAGAAACAAAAGCACGAGCUUGUGGCCAUUAUUCAAACAAUAAAAUUAGCACUAGUCACUUGGAGAGAAACCGGCAAAACAUCCAGAAAUAUACCACACAUAGGGGUGGUAAUGGAUCAUGCCUCCUUCACAAUCCAACUCAACCCUAUUUAUUUUUAGUUCAAAAUCAUAUAUUAUUAUAGCCCGAUACAUAUUGAGCAUGAUCCUUAAAUUUGCUAAGUUAAAUUAGAGGGCCCUUUACCACACCUAACCACGCCACAAGAACAAAAUUCAACAAGCUGUUGGUAACUCGGUACUCUACCGGUUGGAUACAAAACAAUAUUAAAAACUGCUGCUACUAAUAUUCUCUUAAUGAAAUACAUGCACGUUUAUAAAAAAAAUGACUCACAUGACCCUCCUAAACCUAGAGAACAGACUCGAUUGAAACUAAUCGGGAACCUAAUAAUAGUGAGCACAGUCACUGGCAUGUAAAUAAACUAAGUAGAGCUGUAUAUCUAGAUAUUGAGGUAGUUCUUGAUGGACUCCUCGAACUCCUUGACGACGGCUUUCCAUCCGGCAUGGGUCGGGUUGAUGUCGUCCCAGUAGAAGAACUUGUCCGGCUUGGACCCCAGGCUGUACUGCGGCUCACCGUCCUGCACCUGCCCGCAGAACCCGCUCCGGUCGAAGCUCUCGCAGCACGACUCCAGCCUGUACUUGAACUGCUUCGAUCGCGGCGACGGGCCCGCGUAGUGGCUGAAUGCGGCUUUCAGGUCGAGGUUGAAGACGGCCUCGUCCUGGAACACCUUCUCCUCGAGGUACGAGUUGUGGAUGCUCGCCACCUUCUGGCUGUCGCACUUGGCAUCGUAGACGCCGUCCUCGGACCUCGACAGCCACGGCGUGCACCCGAGCGGGGGCAGCGAGGUCACCACCACCUUCUCGACGCCCAGGUCCAUCAGCUGGUCCACGGCGUCGGCGAUCUUGUCCGUCACCUCCUGGGCCUUGGCCUUCACCUCCGUGCUGGUCAUGUCGUUGAAGCGCUCGUAGUCGCGCCUGCCGGAGAAGGCGAUGAGCGCGACGGAGUCCGUGAGGUCCUCGUCGAUGAUGCCGAGCCUGACCAGCCUCUUGAACUUGUCCACCUGCCUGCCGAGCCUGGGCGCGUCGCUCGUCCCCUCCACCACGCCGGCGCCGCCGACGGCGAAGUUCAUGCCGGACGGAUCGACGCCGUCCUGCUUCCUCUUACUCUCCGCCGGAGGGGACUCCUUCCGCCCCAGAAUCCUCGCUGCACAAAUUAUGUAUUGAUGAGACAGGGCCAGGAUUUAGAAUAUUAAGUACUGAUCCGAGCUUAUUAUUACGUACCGAAGAAAUCAGAGAGGACCAAGCCGUUGGAGAAGCGGCCGCUUGGAGUGGCGCCGUGCUCCUUGUCGUUGCUGCCGUACGGGUAGUACCAUGCGCGCGUCGUCUUGGUCAGGUCUGCUAGCGGGAAGUUGCCGGCGUCGGCGAACUCGUCGCCGAACACGAACAGCUUAUACCGCCGGCCCGAGUCGCUGUCGCGAUGGCGUCGGGACUCCACAUGAGCAGCUGCUAACAACAACGUUAAUUAAAGCUCCGAUCCGAGAGCAGAACAAUGCACGACAGCAAGUAAACCACCUGGAGAAAUUAGCAAGAACAAGCAGAACAACACAUACCGUUCAGCAGGAGUAGGAGGCCGCAGACGGCGGCGAAAAGAAGCUUCAUGCUGGCUGGUUCCUUGGAUUUCGAUCGAAGGCGAGUUGCGCGGGGCGCGGGUGUUGAGGUGAGUCAAUUGCUGAGUCGUGGUGCCAGGACGACGGCGAGCGUCGCAAUUUAUACACGGGAGAUCGAGUUCCGAGUCCUACUGGGGGUGGGGGAGGCGCGCUUGUUUGCCCAGUCCGCCGCCGACUGUAACUCGUUUCCAAGCCUAGCUGGUACACUGACGAACAACAAGUCAGAAAGCCGACGAUUCCUGCUCGGAGUUGGCGGGUUGGCGGGCCUUUUCUCUCUAGGAUCUCACCAGGCCUCAAAAUACCCGGGCCAGUACAGCAGAAGAGGCCCAUCGCUACCACCCCAAUACAUGCAUACGACCAGCGUUCACUAAUGGGCCCCAUCCCUGUCUGCACGGACGACGAUAGAAGUUGGCCCGAAAUCAACACGGCUGGGCCUGGGCUGUGCAUCACAGAACCCUUUUUUUCUUUGGCGACGAACAAAACCCCUCGCCACUACUACUUAGCCACGCAUGAUGAUGAUGAAUUUACGUUUGAUGAUUGCUUGUUGAUCAAUCAGUCGAUCGAUCGAUCUGCGGAGUACUCUGACGGAAGGAAAGCUAACCCUCUCCGCCGGCGCCGGCGCCACCGCAAUGUGGUUCACCUCCCGUCGCAAACCCAACGCCGCCGAACCUUCCGAGGAUGCACCGUCGUCCUCCUCGCCACGCAGCUCGCAACCCCGCGGCUACUCCCUCCGCAUCUCAUCCUCCAACCCCUGCCCCCAAACCCAGAGCUCCCGCGACGGAGCCCUAGCCUCCGCCACCUCCUCCUCCGCCGCCGCCUGCGACCUCGGCGGCGGAUGGGGGAACUCCGUAGGCCGCGGCGGCGGCGGCUUCCUGUGGUGGAUCUUCUCCGCCGGAGCGGCGCGCGCGGACGAGGGGAAGCCGGCGGGGGCCGACUGGGACGCGCACGGGCUCCCGGUCACGCGCACACCGGUGCCGCUCUCCAGGCUCGACGGGAGGAAGCGGUACAAGGUCUCCGAGCUCAACUUCCUUGACUGCCGCGCCCGGGACCGCGCCAGCGCCCGGGACCGCGCCAGCGCCGCGGAGAAGAACCCCUUGUUCGACGACAUGGCCAAGCUGCGCCCCGGCGGCGUGUACACCCGGUCGCAGCUGCUCGGGCAGCUCCAGGCGAUGACCUCCUCCGGCAUGUUCGAGCAGGUCAGCCUCCAAGGGAAGCCCAAGCCGGACGGCACGCUCGCGCUCACCGUCACCUACGCCGAGAACAUCUGGCCUGGAGCCACCAAACGGCUCAAGUGCGUCAACGUUGGACUCAUGGCGCCGCCCGACGCUGGCCCUGCUGAGGACAUGACGGCGAGGGAGAAGAUGGAUUACAUCCGGAGGCAGGACCAUGACUACCGGCAGCGAAUCCGCAGCGCCAAGCGGUGCAUUCUACCGGAGUCUGUGCGCGAGGAGGUGCUGGGGAUGGUGAAGAAGCAGGGGAAGUUGACCGCCGGGGUGCUGCAAAGGAUGAGGGACCGCGUCGAGAAGUGGUACCACGACGAGGGCUUUGUGUUCGCCCUGGUGCAGAACUUCGGGAACCUCGACACCGACGAGGUUGUGUUGGAGGUGGUAGAGGGGGACAUCACCAUGGUGGAGUACCAGUUUCAGGACAAGCUUGACAAUAUCGUCGAGGGGAACACUCACAUCGCUGUCGUUGACCGGGAGCUGCCCCAGCAGGUAUGUAUAUAUAUAUAGGCAAUUUUCCUUACUACAUCAACAUCAGUUCCAUGGUUAAUUAACAUGUUCUGUUCGAGAUGUCUAUGGAUGAAUUGUUGUUUAAUGUGCCACGAGUUGAUUGGUUCGAUGUAUUCUAUUACGAUUCUCAAACACAUUUACUCUGACCUGAUAUGCUUUCUUGCAACCAUGUAAUUUACCUUCUGCCUUUCUUACACUGUGCAGCUUCGACCUGGCCAUAUCUAUAACAUUGGGGCAGGGAAACAAGCUCUGAAGCAUAUCAAUUCACUCGCUUUAUUCUCCAAUAUAGAAGUGAACCCUCGCCCUGACGAGACAAAAGAAGGGGGUGUAGUGGUUGAAAUAAAACUCAAGGAACAUGAACCAAAGUCGGCCGAAGUAACUACAGAGUGGAGCAUUGUACCUGUGCAUCAAGGGAGACCAACUCUUGUAAGGCACCACUUAUUUGUAACCUUUUUUCCUUCUUCUCUGCAGAAUCUGUACCUUGAAUGAUAGAAAACAUCAUAAAUAUAUAACCGCCAAUCAUUAUAAAUCCAUGUUUCACAACCCAUCUCACGGAAACUUUCUUUUUAGGCAUCAAUUCAACCUGGAGGAACUGUGUCAUUUGAGCACCGCAACAUCUCUGGUUUAAACAGAUCUCUUGUCGGUUCUGUUACUUCCAGCAACCUGCUCAAUCCUCAGGUGAGUUGGUACUGAGUUCUUUUAUUGAAAACAGAAGCUUUGAUGCAAUGUUGCUUUGGUUUACAAUUACAUCUACAUUCGCUCUGAUCUGCUUGUACUAAAUUAGCUGAAUUGUCACUUAUAACCGUCUCAGUCUUCCUUUGUAACUAUAUGUUUCGAGUCAUAUUUCAAUUAUCAUUAUUACAUGAAGUGUGGAACUCAGUUGAGUGUCUUCUGCAUUGAAAUGUGAAACAUUGCAGACUUUAAUUGCCAUUCUGCUGCAAUCUGAAAUAAGUAAAUAAAAUUAUACCCUUGUUUCAUGAUUUAAAAACAUUUAGUUUAUAAAAUGUACUGGUAUGGUUUACAAGGCAUAUGUUUCAUUUUUAACUGAUCCGUUAUAUUUGUAUUUACGGCAUGUUUCUUUUGGGAUAUCAGGAUCAUCUCUCAUUCAAGCUUGAGUAUGCCCAUCCUUAUUUGGAUGGUGUGGACGACCGUAGUAGAAACCGCACCUUCAAAGCUAGCUGCUUCAACGUCAGGAAAUUAAGUCCUGUCUUUGUUGCUGGCCCCAACAUGGAUGACGCUCCACCUAUCUGGGUUGAUAGAGUUGGAAUUAAAGCCACUAUAACAGAGGUUUGCACAGAUUGAUAUUACCUUCUUCAUCUUUUGAUUUUCAUAAAUAUCUACUCCCAAGAUAUAUUUUUAACAUGAGGAAACUGCAUUUGGAAAUUUUUUCAGAGCUUUACAAGGCAGAGCAAAUUCACUUAUGGCCUCGUGUUGGAAGAGAUUAAAACACGCGAUGAAGAUAACAACAUAUGCACACAUGGUUCUCGAGUAUUGCCUAUUGGUGCAUUGAACAUGGAUGGACCUCCCACAACCUUCAGUGGUACCGGUGUAGAUCGAAUGGCAUUUCUACAAGCUAAUAUAACUCGAGACAAUACUGAGUUUGUAAACGGGGCAACUAUUGGUGACAGAUGUAUAUUCCAGGUGGGGUGUUUUGUUCUCAGUGAAUUUUCAAUUGUUGCUGGGUGUUUAAAACCAAAUUGACUGCACUGUGCCAAAAGGAGAAAGCCAGCUCCUUACACAACUGAUGUUUCUGUUUUCGUAUGAGGCUGCUGCACAAUGCAUAAUGCUGACUGUUUAGGCACAUUUUAGCAAAUGUUAUCAUUACAAUUUUUUUAGAAUCAAGGUAUUCUUGUUUAUGUUAUAAUUGCUUUUCAGUUAUAUUUUAAAUAUCUGGGUUAGUUCUUGUUUAACAGCAUCAUGUGUUUAUAGAAAGUUCUCCAUGGUAAAGUAAAUCCACUUAUAAUUUUCUUGUGGGCCGCAGUUGGACCAAGGUCUUGGCAUUGGAAGCAAAAAUCCAUUCUUCAACCGUCAUCAGCUUUCAGCGACAAAGUUCAUUAAUUUGAAUAAGCAAGAUAAAGGUGCUGGCAAGCCACCACCAGCAAUUUUGGCGAUUCAUGGUCGCUACGCAGGCUGUGUAGGAGAUCUGCCGAGCUAUGAUGCAUUUGCAAUCGGAGGACCUCACUCUGUUAGGGGCUAUGGCAUGGGAGAACUGGGUGCUUCCAGGAAUCUUCUUGAGGUGAGCAUCAAACUAUCGAUCCUCAGGGGGAUUUGGCACUUACUCUGAAUCAUGAUGCAUAGUUGUUAUCGCUGUUCAUGUCGUAGUCGUGGAGGUUUUGCUUUUCUUCGGAUUUGUUUUGAAUCUUAUAUCCAUGCAGUUUGCCACUGAGUUGCGUGUCCCCAUCACUGUGAAGAACAAACAAACGCAGGUGUAUGUAUUUGCUGAGCAUGGCACUGACCUCGGGAGUUCCAAGGACGUGAAGGGCAACCCUACAGAGUUCUUCCGACGCGCAGGCUCUGGGUCCUCCUAUGGCAUUGGUGUCAAGCUCGGCACGGUAAGGGCGGAGUACGCUGUAGAUCACAAUGCUGGUACGGGAGCCUUCUUCCUGAGAUUUGGCGAAAGAUUCUGAAGGCCGCGUCUCUGUCCAGCUUGACGAUCAGAAAGCCCUAUGUAAAUUCGACUGCCAACUUUCUAGAAUAAAAUUAACUCGUGAAGAUAUAACGUCACUGAAUCUUGUAGCAGCAAGGCCCGCGUUAUGAAUGGUUGAGAGUAAAGUCAGAUUCAACUGGAAUAAGAGUUUCGUUUUGAUGGAAGGAUGUCAUUGUACUCUCUUCCUCCGUGGAACUGUACUAGAUGGUAGUCUCGGAGUAUUAUCUUGAACUUGGUAACUAAACCUAUUGAGUGUUAGGAGGAUAAAACUCUUCUCUCAAACUAGAACUUGUGCAUUCACGAUGCAUCCGACAGCUUGCAUCUGUCAGGUGCACGAGAGCACCAGAUGUACUCGGAGCACCCGAUCUUCUCUUACAUCAUUUUUUAAUCUAAAUUGCACAAAUUUGAUAAAUUUGGGCUUUGGGUGAUUUCGAAAUUGCUAUCGCAUUUUCUAGAAUUUAAAAAGUUAUGAUUUAAUCAAAAAUUCAUAACUAACUUAUUUCAAAUCUAAAAAAUAUGAAGUUGGUACAAAAUUUUUCUAAAAAUGUAGGCUAUUUGUUCAUACUCUAUUUGAAAUUGUUUACAUCAUAUUUGUUACUAAACCUAGUGUUAUAUUGUUUUUAAUAAAACACAAGGAACAUGAACAAUCUAGUUUUAAAUAAUGCUAAAUAGUACACCAACAGAUAGUUUACAUUUUUAGAAAAAUUUUGGCACCAAUUUAAUAUUUUUCUGAUUUGAAAUGAAUUAGUUAUGAACUUUUUAAUUAGAUCUAAACUUUUUAAAUUUCUAAAAAAUUGCAAACCACUCCUAAAACUAUCCAAAUGGCUAAAUUUAUCCGGUUUUGACAUAUGAAUGGCCCUCCGUGUCCAGUUUUGUAGUUGUCAGUAUAGACAUGUGUCACAUCACUUUAUUAAUGAAGUAAAAAUUCCUACAAAACCUUCGCUGCAAAUGGCCUUACCGCCUCCCGAUUAUCACCGUUUGUUGUUACCUUUUUCUUUUCCAUUGCUAUGUUUGUCCUCCUCGCCUUUGUGCUCCCCACGUUAGGUGAAUUUUCAAACCUUUAAGGCUAAGAUUGGGAGCCCUUUGUUUUCUCAUUUUUUUAAAACAAAAGAAGAAGAAAAUGAAAAGCGGCUUUACCUGCACAACUGCAGUUUUGGCUAGAAUUUACUCCUAUGUCGAGUAAUUGCUCAUGUAGUGUCGCGGCAUCUUCCAUCGCUUCGACUCCUAUGCAUUAACGCAUGGGAACGCAGCAAUCGGAAAGUUCAGUCUUGAGUGCGGCUGCCUUGGACGGUGCAGGGUGGAGAGCGGGGAGGCUUUGCAUGCAUGGAGUUAAUUAUUAAUGGGCUAAUGGCCGCCUAACCUUCUCCGUUCUGCUUGUGAUAAAACUGAAUCGGCGGCGCAUGCCGGACACCCGUUAUAUAGACCAAACAUGCUUAUGACUAAAAUAAGCUGAAGCUGAAACUAGUAGCCAAACGGUAUACUUUUUUCAGCUUCUUCUGUCUGCGCUUCUCUCCACAGGUUCCAUUUGUUUUCCUAUAUUAGUACAGUUUAUUUGAGAAGCAGCUCCCGCAGCAGUACCGUCGUAACCACACGCCCGGCGGAAAGCCUGGGAAAGCAUAGUACCAGCAAAGGAGUCGCCGGAGCCGCCCGCGAUGACGAAGUACGUCACGCUCUCCGUCCGGGACGAAGAGUACCGCGAGAUCACCCGCACCAUGCGCACGACCGACAAGCUGCACACCCUCAUCGAUUUCUACUACGACAUGGUGCCCGCCGUCGCGUACGGCGAGGGGGCCUUCCUGCACCGCGGCGAGCCGGUCGACAGGAUGAAGACGCCGGCGGACUACGGGAUGCGCGAUAGGGACGAGCUCGCCUUCUCGUCGCAGAUCGACUCGAGCACGUUCCUCACGCUGACCGUGCGGGAAGAGGAAGGGCUCGGGUCCUUCUCCCUCACCUUGCGAACGACCGACCAGCUGCGGGACCUGAUGGACUUCUGCUACGAGAUGGUGCCCACCGUCGACUACGGCGACGGGGUCUUCCUGUUCAACGGCAGGCGGGUUAAAGGCCACCGGACUCCGGAGGAGCUCGGUAUGGUGGAUGGCGAUUGGAUCGGUGUUACUUUCAGAGUUCGUUACUGAACGUCGUCGGGCUGCUUCCGCUGAACCGGCACCGCCCGUAUGUUGCUGCACUUUUCGUUGUGUAAGCAGCUGCUACUUGCGUGCAUCUAAAUUUCACGCAUCUUUUGUUCCAAAAUUUAUCGAUAUCCAUGAAUCGAUCCCUCUCACUCAUCUCACCGUGCUUAUGAUGUACUGAAAUAUGUCAUGGUUACCUAUUCUAGAGUAUCGAGUUUAAAGCCAAAAAAUAUGUAGUAUGUCAAUGUGACUUGAAGUGACAUGAUUCAACACUUUACACAAAAGCAUGGUCGUGCAACUUGAUUGAAUUGAUUCACAUUUUGUGAACAAAAACUAAUUCAACAAUUUCAAUGACCUGAUCUAGCGUUUUGUUAAACUAAUCGAUUCAACAUUUUAUAUCAAACUGUUUAGAAUGUUGAACUAGCGCGCUCAAACUUCUGAACUUCCUACGAUCGGAUCGGCCCAACCACAGCCCUAAACGGUCCGGCCCAGGGCGGCCUCGGUCGGUUGCCCUCUCGCCCAGCACGGGACCAUACCCGGUGCAGCGAAUAGGGUAUCCUCCCGCCGCCGCACUCUCUUCGUCCCGGAUCGAUCCCCAUUCCAUUCCCCACCCGGCUCCAGCACGGAACUUUCCUCUCUCUAGGGUUCCCCCCCUAUCCCCCUCGAGUCUCGACCGUACCAGGUAAAUUACAGGUCCACCCGUCCCGCGUUCGGUCCGAUCCCGUGAUUCGAGCCUUCGCGCAUCGAUCCGGGACUCUUCCGCCCGCAAAUUUCCCCGCGGCGGAGUUUCGCGGCCUCUUUGUAUUUGGGCCAUUCGAGUUGAUUAUUUUGGAGGAUUGAGUGUGCGUUGUUAGAUUUUUUGUGCGACGACUGCGGUGUGUUAAUUGGAGGUUGAAAGAAUUGUAGCUGUUUUGAGGCGGCAAGCGAGUGCUGCAGAAGCAUCACAUCUGCGCCGAGGCAUGGAUAAGGAGCUCUUCGCCAACGACGGCUCCUUCAUGGAGAGGUUCAAGCAGAUGCAGCAGGAGAUGCAGGAGAAGGAGAAGGCCGCUGCUACUGAAGCCUCAUCGGCUCCCAAGCACGGGAGCUCCAAGCCGGGGUUUGCUGUUGCGGCGAACAAGAGGCCGUUCGAGCUGAAGAAGGCUGGUCCAGUCGCCACGGGCGGGAAGCUGGCCUUUAGCCUGAAGAAGGCCAAGGUCGCGGUCGCCCCUAUUUUUGCGGCCGACGAAGAGGAAGAGGAUGUGGAGAGGGAGGAGCCUGCCAAGCGCCACAAGUCUGUGCAAGCUGAUGCUCCUGUGGCAGCUACCCCGGCAGGGGCUGUUGGUAAUCAUUUAUUUAUUAAUUCAUUCAUUCAUUUAUUGCUGUUAUAAUAUAAAAAAUUAUUAGUGGUUUCCCAUUCUUUGGAUUUUUUGUUGGCGUUCUGUGGGUGUAGUUGCUAUCAAAUGAUAAGAUAGAAAUAUGCGACAAGAAUUUUAAUUCAAUAAUUGUCCUAGAACAUCAGCUAUAUAUUGCCUCUUAUCUUUUUUGCUUUUGAAUUCAUUCCCCAUAUAUGUGACAUAUCAUAGGUUUUACUCUUGAGAUGACUUCUAAUUUGGUAUCCCAUACCCCAAUUAAUACCACCGACACAUAUGGUUAUAUUGUCAUUUUUUAAUACAUUUUUCUGUUCCAUGCAUUUGAGGGUGUUAUCCUGAGUCCUGACAGUAUUGCAUUCAUAUUGAUAGUGAAACGAACUAACUAGAUACUUUUUAUUUCAUUUGUCACAUACUGAUUUAACUAGAAAGUAGCACUGCGUUGCAUAUGCAUUUUUAGUGAAAUUAUUACUUGUAGGACUGCUUGGAUGUCAAGUAUAUUUUGGUUUCGUAUGGUUUCUAUAAUAUGUCAUAGCAUAAAAACUUUUAGGUGUUGGUAUACAACUAACAGUGUACAAAUGUAGUAUUCCAACCACCAUGUUAUUUUGGAGUUUAUGAAGGAAACCCAUUAAACACCUCUUUUUCCUAAAAAGUAAACACGAGGCAUGCUACGAUUUCCCUUUCUCACCACAUGCGAAGUAUUUAGCAUUCCUGUCUAAUUUCAUGCAGUACUAUCAGUAAACACAUUCCUAAUGUGACUAAUCUGAAUUGCAUACAUUCAUUUUGGAUUGUUCACAGUAUUACUUUAGCCUUUUUUUAUCUCCAUAUAUAUAAAGUAUUGUUAUAAUUAGCCUACCCCAACUUGCUUGGAACUGAAAGGCUAUGUUGUUGUUGUUGUUAUUGUUAUAAUCAAAGCUAACUGCAUUCAAAUAGGCAAAUAGUAUGUAUGUAUGUAUCAUGCUUUAUUUAGUUUUCCUCUGUUGGAUAGUUCUUCUAUAUACUGUAGAAAAUGGUGGUUUUCACAAUUUAUGUUGUUUCAGUUCCCAUGUAUUAAAAAUAUGGUUUUCAAAAACUCUGCUUUGAAAUGUUCCUGACAUCAAAACACAUCCUUAUAGUAUUGAUUUCAUGCAUUUACAAAUGAUAAAAAUGGAUCUAGAAAGCAACAAAUUGCAAUGCACAUUGGUGUUGGAAUCGACCAUCUAACAGUGUUUAAUAAUUUUUUAAAACUAUCCAAGAAAAUUGCUUGCUGUUGCACAACGUGAUUUAAACCCUCCGUUUAUGCUUGGCUCAUACGUUGUUAGGUUUACAAAAGAAACAUCUUUCUCAGUGUUUGGGUUCAUUAUAAGUCAGGCAGCAGAAAGUCGUGAAGGUUUUGUUUUUUUUUUCCGAUAACUGCAGCUUAUAGAUGAACUGUAUUGGCAUUGCCAGGAAGGAUAUGAUUGAAAGAGUUGGAGACUCUACUGCAGUAAUUUGCAUUGCCUUGUCAAUAUGCUUGAUAUUAAUAGUUCUUUAAGUGACAUGCAGCCCCACCCCCACCAAAUGAUAUGACAGUGAAGCAAGUUGCUGACAAAUUGGCAAGUUUUGUUGCAAAAAAUGGGAGACAAUUUGAGAAUAUCACACGGCAGAGGAAUCCUGGAGAUACACCAUUCAAGUACGACUGCACUACUUAUUUUUCUGAUAAACUCUGUUUUACUUUUAAAUUCUAAAAUCUGACUUUAAUAAAUUAUUGAUAUAAAUCUUGGGUUAUUUGCAGAUUUCUAUUUGACAAACACUGUCCAGACUACAAAUAUUAUGAGUUUCAGCUUGCUGAAGAGGAAAAGGCUCUUGGUCAGUCAAAGGAUGCUGAAGCAUCAAAAAAUGGUUUGUGGCACAAUUUUUUUAAUCAUUUUCUAUAUCUAAAAGUUCUAUAAAAGUCUUGAUGCUAUAUACUCUUGUUAAUGUAGCUAGUUCUAGCACUGCAAGCUUCAAAGCACCAAGUGGUCCGUAUAAAAGCUCAUUUGAACAAAAGUCCAACUAUCAGACACCUGCAUCAGCUUUGUAUGGGGCAUAUGAGGGUAGUUCUUCCCAAGGAAGCUCAUCUAGUUAUGGUAAAAUAUACAUACAUGGUUUCCUUUAUCAAAUGUUAUAUAUCUACAUUCUCUAUGUUCCUGGACUGUUCGCCUGUUUACAUUUGUUUGAGUUUGCAUUUUGCAAGUCAUCCAAAUCAGGCACUUCUAUUGCCUUAGUAUCUUAUUGUUAUUUCUGAUGUCUUGAAUAUUAUGUUUCAUCCUUGUAGCUUCAAUGAAUAGAUAUAUUGUAGGGUUUCUGUUGUGAACCAUUAAAACCCUACUGCCUGUCAUCUCCCUGAUCUAUAGUUUGCUUUAGGAGUAAAAACCAUUGCUUCCUAUCUUGAACUGUUUCUUGUUAUUAUAUGUGCUUAAUGCUAGUUCAUCAUUUUGCAGGUGAUCACAAUACAUCUGCACCGUCAGAUCCUGUAGCUUUGAUGGAAUUCUAUGCGAAGAAGGCUGCACAGGAAGAACGGAAGAGGCCACUAAGACAGUCAAAAGAUGAAAUGCCGCCACCUCCUUCUCUUCAAGGUACAUUUUUUGCAACAUGAUUUGCCGUACUGGAAGAACAUAAAAACUUCAAUAUUUGUUCUACAACUAAAAAUUCUUGUUUUGCAGGUCCUCCUAAGAAGGGACACCACAUGGGUGACUUCAUUCCUCAAGAAGAACUUGAAAAGUUCAUGGCACGCUGUAAUGAUGCUGAAGCACAAAAGGCUACGAAAGAAGCUGCCGAGAAGGCUAAGAUUCAGGCAGACAAUAUUGGCCACAAACUUCUAUCUAAGAUGGGUUGGAGGGAAGGUCAGUCAUUGAUGAAUACUAAAUAACAUAGUCACCAUUACAGUAAUUCUCUGAUCAAACCCUGUCAGAUCUUUUUUUCAAAGUCCCAGAUGUUUAUGGCAACAGUACAUCAACCCCUCUGACCUUGACCGUCAUAUUCAUCCAACAAACCUUAAAAAAUUGUCAAAUUAUGCUGUUAACAAAGCCUUCCAUCCCAAAUACCAGAUAUAAGAACUAUUUACAAUGGAUCCUUUUUCCUCAGCAUUGUCCUGCAUGCAUUAAUUCUCAAUAUCCCUACCCGGUGGAACCUUUUUUGUCAGGCACAUAGGAAGGCAAUUAGCGAUAAUAUGCACCAUUCCACUUCCAGGUGUUAAAUAUAAUUUACUGUGCAGGUGAGGGUCUUGGUAGUGAGAGAAGAGGCCGUGCGGAUCCCAUUAUGGCUGGAGAUGUGAAGAAGGAUCAUCUUGGUGUUGGUGCUGUCAAGCCUGGUGAGGUCACAUCUGAAGAUGACAUCUACGAGCAAUACAAGAAGAGAAUGAUGCUUGGAUACCGCUAUAGGCCAAACCCUCUGGUAUAUUUGCUGCCAUUGUCUACUUCCAGGAGUUGUAUGUUAUUUCUGUUUGCCUAAACACUUCUGCUAUUUUUGCAGAACAAUCCAAGGAAACAAUAUUACUGAUACAGGUUAGUUCAUCUAAGAUGUAAGACACCAAUUUUGCUGUAUUUUUGCUCACAUAACUAACAGCUAGGGAGUAUGACUAACAGCAUUGAAAGUUUUUGUUCAUCAGCAGAAAAACUAAGAAGCUCAUUUAGUCAGCAUAUAUCUUGGAAUGCCACAGAUCUGAGGCUUACGGGGGGUUCAACCGUAGCUUUGUUCUUUGUGUAGUGUUGAUCUUUGUUGCUUUAAAUUCACUUCCAUGGUGAUGUGUUGAAACGUGGAGCAUAGUUUCAUAAUGUGAUGUAUUGCCUUCUUGGAUGACAACAUAUCUUUCCUGAUUAUUCAUCUUUUUGUUGGGAUUUAUUGCCGCAAUAUCAUAUUUCCAUACUGGGAGGCAUAAUCUAAAAGUCUGUUGCAAUGGUUCUAUUUUAUUCUGGAUUCUGGAAUUUGAAUAGCUAUGUGGAACGUGAGUGUCGGUACGGAAGCUAUUACUUACUGGCAGCAUAUAACUUGGCGUUAUUUCUGUAGGAGUUAAAAUUCUGUUAUGCUCUCUGCCACUCUGAUGUGCUGAAUUAAUGGGUUACUUUGAUUGUGAUCUAAGCGCUUAUGGCCUGAUGGGCUAAUCUUAUUACACGGUUUUAUUGCAUAGUUACUUAGAUUGAAAACUAGGUAAUAGUGCUAGAUGAGUGUUAUGGGGAUUAAACUCAUUUCUUGUUUGAUGAAACUAUCUUUAUUCAUUACCUUGCCAAGUUAGGUCUCGUUCGUUUCAUCAGGAUUGGAUUCCAGCCAGGAUUACUUCCAGGUCCGGUUUGAGUGAUUCCACCCGUGUCACUCAAUCCGGCCAGGAUUCAUUCCAGGGGUGAGGAGUUAUGGUUUCAAUCCAGGCCAUCUAAUGUAGUAGGAUUCCAAUCCAGAUCGGUUUUCGUUCCAGGCAAGACUAAAACGAACAACACUUUCAAUGCAAGUCUGGUUUCAAACCGGACCAAUUCAAACCACCCGGAAUGAACCUCAUUCCGGGCCAAUCCGUGAAAACGAACAGGCCUUAGCAAUUUUGGUGUGGCAUGAACUCUCGUGAAACAGACUGACCUUACUGUUAUGCUCUCUGCCUCUCGGUCUCGGAUGUGCUGCAUUAAUGGGUGACGUUGAUUGGAAACCACAGUAAGGGAGACAUAAAUUUAUAUUUUAGGAAAAUAUCGUAAAGUUUGCACAAGCGUAUCUAUUACUCUAUAUUAAUGUUGCUAGACUAGACGAAAUCUCAGAGGCUGAGCUACUGUUCACCGACGCUGGUACGUGGGUCCGAAAUCCAAUCAGUUAUGAAAAAAAAAAAAAGAAGAAGAUUCGAGAGUCCACAGGUCUCGGUCCUCCACGACCACGAAGAAUCGGCGAACUCCAUUUGCCUAGCCGCACCUAUCGCCGUUGGUCCGCUCCGCACGCUGGGGCCGCCGGCUCGCUCCGGCGCCCGCUCCCUCGACCGGCGGAUCGCGCCGCCGCCCGCUCGAGCAGCCGCAUGCGCCGCCCGGUGGGAAUGUGAGAGCACAUCAGCAACCACCGGCGGCCGUCAACACCACUUGAAUCUUGGCAUGGAGAGAGAGAAAGAGAGAACAGAGCUGUGCAGCGCAAAAGUCUGGACAACCAACCGAAUCAGGCCACCGGCGUCGGCUCUGCCAUUGCUUCCACCGAUAGACUUCCAGAGCAGUCUGCCACCGUGGCCUCUCACUACCCUCUCUAGAGCAACCAGCAGCCGUGGCUCCGCGCUCACCGAGCCCAAAAAUGAUGGCCUUCUAGCUGCAGGCAAGACCUCAAUCCGCAGGAAUCAAAUUCACUCUCCAAGUCUUUGUAGCUUUUGUGGAUGGAUGGGGGAGAGAGAGAGAGAGAUUGCCAUGGGGAUGACCGGAUGACUAGAUGAAGGGAUAAAGGGCACAGUGCACUUAAAAAAGAAAGAAAAUAGGCCUUUUAGACGCUUUCCUCACUGGCUUUUUACAAAACAGGAGGGGAUCCCUUACUAAUUACUAUAUUAAGCAAAACAAAGAGAAAGUAUGUACAAAAGAAAAGAUAUUUAGCGAAUGAAAGAAAAAUUACAGCAGAGUAUGCAACCGUCGUACUUCAAUGGGAAAAUAGGAUUUCUUUGCUAAAUAAUGAUUCAGAGCAAAUAAAUGCAUAAAAAUCUCUUUCAUCUAGAGGAACGGCAUGAAUUUGAAUUCUGGUUUCAUUCUGAUUUGUUUCCUAAUUUUGUUCAAUACUCAAUACUAUAAUAUAUACUUAUAGCAAAGUAGAGAGAUUACAUAUGUAACUCUUUCCGUUAUUGCUUUGAGUUAAUAUUUUUGUACAGGCGCGCAUCGCGCGCCAAUCUAUCUAGCAUGGCACUUGGUGAGAUACGAAAGUUGACAAGUAGGGCCCAUUCUUGCCCCCCUUGUCUCACCAUCUCGUAUCUCGCGGCUGGCUCACUUGAACUACCAUGUGCUGGGCACCUGAAGCUGAAAUGCUGAAAGCGAAGCGCCCGCCGCCCGCAGCGAUCAGAGCGCCGGUACAGGAAUCUCUCACGCAGUCACGCUGCUGAUCGCCUCCCUCCCCAGUCCUCACUGAUUGCGCUUUGCCUCUGGCCCGGCCGGGGCCCCGGGCCUCAUGCAUGUCCAGUCACGCCCACCAAACGGAACGCAGCCAUCUUUUUGUAAUAAGCACCAAGUUGGCGGCGUUAACAAUGCGGGAUAAUCCGCUGGAUCAUCAUCGGGGACGCUGGCCUGGUUUGAUGACCUGGACGAAUAUCAUCGAGCUACCAAUCUUGGAAGAGAAGUCUGGAGGCGCAUGCUGUCGGGUGUCAGCCUGUCUCCACCGCUGGCCGCCUCGCUGUCAGCUGUACUGCACUGCACCCGGUCACUCAUUCACUGGCCGGUAGGCAAGCUUGAGGCUCAAGUAGCCGCCAUAAGCCUCCAUUGAGUACUCCUGCCAGCAUCACUGCCCAGACCUCCAGAUUUGUGGAGUGACGGUAGUAGCAGGUUACUUCUGGUAGGAAAUCGAAACCAUUCAGGACCAACGCCUGUCCGCUGGCGACAACGAAAAGCCGUUAUGGCGAGCGAUCGAUCCUGGUCUGGUUACAGUUAAGCGCGCCUCGGGUGUUAGGAUACCCCAUGCUAAAGUUUAGCACAUGUCACAUCGGAUGUUUGAUGCUAAUUAGGAGUAUUAAACAUAGGCUAAUUACAAAACUAAUUGCACAAAUAGAGUCUAAUUCAUAAGACGAAUCUAUUAAGCCUAAUUAGUCCAUGAUUUGACAAUGUAGUGCUACAGUAACUAUUUGCUAAUGAUGGAUUAAUUAGGUUUAAUAGAUUCAUCUCGCGAAAUAGCAUAGGGGUUUUGCAAUUAGUUUUAUAAUUAGUUCAUAUUUAGUCCUCCUAAUUAGCAUCCGAACAUCCGAUGUAACACUGCUAAAGUUUAGCAUCCAGUAUCAAACACCCGUCGUCGGUCUGACUGCUCCGAACGUUGUCGUUCCACCGGCCCCGAGAUCAUUCCCGGCUGCCUCGCAGCUGUGCGCGCGCUGGCGACCGCCUACCGGCCGCCAUGAUACGAGCCGCGCCGCGGACGUCAGGUUCGGCCGCUCGUCUCGUGGCGGCCGGUGGAGACUGGAGAGGUGACCUCGAGACAAACCAAUCCAGGAGGCCGCGGUGGUUGGCCACUCGCGAUCCGACCCGCGCGGGUCCCCCCGUGAAGUUCCCCCUUCGAGAUCGCGAGCCAAAAAUAUCGCAUCCCCGGCCGGCCGGCCCAGCUCCAACCUCCAACAGGAAGCAAAAAAAAAUCAACGGGCUUGUGGCGGUCGCGGUCUCGGGGAUCCGUCGGCCGGAGCGGCCGAACGAUCGCGUGUGGCGGCACGCCGCGCCGGGGACAUGAGGCGUCGGGCCGCGUGGAAGUGGAGGCGUGCGUGCUCAUAAAUGAGCACGCCUAGAAGCGGCCAGGAGUCCAGGACGGCGUGGUCGUCGUGUCACGGGCACUGCGCGCACGCCAGUGCCGUCCAUCACGUACCGUCGGCCGUGCGUUCUCUUUGCAGCGGCACGGUUUGGACACCGGAGGAAGUACGUGACAGGAUUUGGCAUGCGACCACUCGCACCGUACUUUGUAAAAAAGAUCAAGUAGCGUGGCGCAUUUCGGUUCCAGGCUUGGAUUACUCGCCGAGAUAGGCCGGGUGACAAGAUUAGGCUAGCUAGGGUAUGAAUGAGUGGUCGCAUUUUUCACUUUAUGGGUUUUUUAGAUCGCUUCCAGUUCAAAUUAUUCGUGAACCGAUCUAUGGACCGUCGAGAAGUUCAAACUGGAUUCCGAAGUAUUCGAAUCCAAAUCUCGGCGUGGCCGUGACCGUGACCAAACAGCCCAAGUGGGCGAGCUGCUGCUGCUGACCCGGCCGCGCAACCGCCUCCACAUGACCCAUCUCAUCUCAGGCUCUCCGCGGCUGGCACCCCACGUGCCGGCGCUGGCCUGACACCUUGGCGCAUGGGCGCGGCGCCCACCCGGCCAGCUCCGGUUGGGUACACCCGGUCCUUGCUUGACGGUGGAACAAAAACACGGCCGGCCCGGCAGCGUACGCGCUGCUGAUAAAAAGGCUAGCGACCGGGUAAAUUGUCGCGGCAUUUUGUCGGGUUAGACCGGCGCACCGUAGAUCGGUUCAUGGACCCCUGGUGACCUAGCGUCAUAGCUCGUCAUUUAGACAUAGGCAAAAGAAGAUCUUCAUAGAAGAAUGUGUUAGAAAAACGGAAAAACUCCAUCCUUAUUAGUCACUUGGGAAGCGUGCUACGACAAAUAAAAAAGAUGGCAAGCGACAGAUAAAAAGGGACGGAGAGAGUAUACGGUAACAGAGAUGCAUGCUGUUAUGUUUAUUUUACUACACUAUACCUAUCAAGAUCUUUAUAACAUUUUCGGAGUAAUAAAUGUAACCCUUAUUUUCUAGCUACCAGGUGACUCCUAAAUUUCGAACACAUAUUGUUAUAUUGUUGUACAAGGUUCAUUUUGCUCUUAUGAACCUACAUUGCAAAUUACAAUAGGGAUUUAUGUGUGAUUGUAUGACUUACGGACACAUGCACCAAAGAUUAUUCGAGCCAGUGAUGACCGAACUCACUUGGAUGAGAUGCAAGGGGAAAGAUGAAGUUAUGUUUUGGGGAUUACACCAAGUGUCGUUGUACGGACGAUGUAAACGGCUCCGUGCAGUUUUUUUUCUUUGGCACAAAGGCAUCAUUUUGUCAUAGAUAAAAUAAGUGUUUGUUUAAUUCAAGGGUAUGCAGCCUCAACAUUUACCUUGGUUCGUAAGGAUUUUGAUUCAGUUCCAUUCCUGUGAAUGCUUCUUUUUGUUCGAAAAAUUAAAAUGCAGAUAUCGUGCUUAGGAAGAAUACCGGACGGCUGGCAGUAACAAAUCAUACAGUAUUUGCCUUCUAUAAAGGCAGCUGGAGACUGUUCUCCGAAAUAAAUCAUAGCGGCUUAGGAGUGUUUGAUACGAGGCGCUAAACUUCAGCAGGUCAUAUCGGAUGUUUGGAUACUAAUUAUAAAGGUCAAACACGAGCUAAUUACAAAACUAAUUGCACAGAUGGAGUCUAAUUCGCAAGACGAAUCUAUUAAAGCUAAUUAAUCCAUCAUUAGCAAAUAGUUACUGUAGCACCACAUUACCAAAUUAUGAACUAAUUAGACUUAAUAGAUUCAUCUCACGAAUUAGACUCCAUCUGUACAAUUAGUUUUGUAAUUAGACUAUAUUUAAUAAUUUAUAAUUUGUAUUAAACAUGCCAUAUGACAGGUACGGGUAUCCAAACACCUCCUCUCCUUUCCUCUUGGUAUGUUUAGCAGUUACCCCUGGCGAAGCCGUUUCGUCGACGUGCCGUGGUUUAACGGACGGGACGGGGACGGCCGGCUCACGUGAACAACGCCCACGAGGCCGCGCUGGCUCUUGUAAAAGCAACCGCUCCCUCCCUAGACGCUAGUGCCUCUUUCCUCUCUCCUCCGCCCCUUUUUAUCGCCCGAUCUCACACAUUUUGGAAAGAGGAGAGAGAGAGAACGCCCAGCCAAACAGCCAAGGAAACAAACCGCGGCGAGAGGCGGAGGAGAGGGAGGAAGGAGGGCAGAGGACGAGCAAGAUGAGAGAGAUCAUCAGCAUCCACAUCGGCCAGGCCGGGAUCCAGGUCGGAAACGCCUGCUGGGAGCUCUACUGCCUGGAGCACGGCAUCGAGGCCGAUGGCACCAUGCCCAGGUGAGUGACGAUCUCGAUCCGCGAGUGCGUUGCUUUUGGUUCCCCAAAUUUUUUGCUGCGUGCAUCCGCCUCGCGAUCUAGGUUCUCGGCUUGGGCCGCCUCGAAAAUCUGGCGGUCUCGUUGCAUCUCCUCGUUGUUUCCUUCUUCUCGAGAAAUCCUUGCUUCGGCGGAGCCAACGAUGGGCGGGCGGGUGGGUAUGUUAGAUUGGAUGGUACUGUCAUGGCAGUUCCGUGUUCGUGUCUUCCUUUUCGUUCUACUUCUCGUUGCUCCUUGGCUCCUUGUAAUGGGUUUUUUUGGGUGGGAUAUGUUGCGCUUUGUUGGGCGUUGGUACAUUUCUUUGCCGGUUGUUGAGAGAUUCCCAGCACCGGACGAGAUGCGACAUUUCCUAAUUAAGAGUCUGCCCUAGCAUUUUCGGACUAUUAGGCCUUUAAUUUGGUGCGUUUGUUCUGUUCCUACUAAUUAGGCAGGCGUCACAGAGGGGAUGCGUUUGGCUUUUGUAUAGAGGAGCGCACGUUAACAUGUCGUGGGACAAAUUGGGUUUCCAACUCCGUAAGACGCAAGAUCUGAAGAGUUGAAUCUGUGGGGAUGCUCAAUAAAUACUGUAACUGGUUAGCUCUGGUGGAUGUCAGCCCAUGGAUCUCCCUAGAUUCAAAAUAUCUGGUCCAUUGUUAAAAGUGCUAUGCUUAUCUCAGUUUUGCGUAAUCUUGUAGCGCCAUAGAAAAUUGUGCUGAUGCUACUGAGAAUAGAAAUCAUGUUGGGGAUCCUGAGGAGGCAGGUUACGUAGGCUCUAAUUUAUCUUUUGGCGCAUAUGCCAAUGACUCUUGAUUACAUUAACUGAGUUAACUGAUUUAUAAGUUCUUACUGUGCGGUUUUUUUAACGCUGUAUUGUUUGAUUGUGAUGCAGUGAUACCUCGGUUGGCGUUGCACAUGAUGCCUUCAACACUUUCUUCAGCGAGACUGGUUCUGGCAAGCAUGUGCCGAGGGCCAUCUUUGUCGACCUUGAGCCCACUGUCAUUGAUGAGGUGCGCACUGGCUCAUACCGCCAGCUCUUCCACCCAGAGCAGCUCAUCUCCGGGAAGGAGGAUGCGGCUAACAACUUUGCCCGUGGCCACUACACCGGUAAUUCACAUUGUGCCUUUGUGAAUAUGUAAUAGGAGUGAGUCUUGUGCUUCUGCGACUGCGGAUAUGUUCGAUUCUAAUUAUGUUUGUGGAAUGCAGUCGGAAAGGAGAUUGUCGAUCUAUGCCUGGAUCGCGUGCGCAAGCUGGCAGACAAUUGCACUGGGCUGCAGGGAUUCUUGGUGUUCAAUGCUGUUGGUGGUGGUACUGGCUCUGGACUUGGUUCACUGCUGCUGGAGCGCCUCUCAGUUGAUUACGGCAAGAAGUCCAAGCUUGGGUUCACCAUUUAUCCUUCCCCACAGGUAUGGCCUUUCCAAGAGGAGGUUGACUUAAGUAUCUGAGAAAUUGAUAAAAUCAAGUAGGUCUUGAAUCUCUAUUGGGCAAUUUGCUUAGACUUGUAUAUAAUUAAUAUCCUUGCGAACCCAUGCUAAGAUAUGGAUCAUGUAACUUGGCAGCGCUGUUAUUGCCUUCUGAAUUGCACAGAUACACUGGUUAUUGGAUCAGCCUAGCAUUAAUUAAAUCAUGUGUGGACUAAACGAGCAACUGUUGUAGACUUCUGGAGUUCUGGUUAGUGAGGAUCUUCCUUUAUAUGGUUAAGACCAUGAUAGCACAACUGUCACAGGCUACAGGCUUUCUUUAUUAGUGUCCCUAUAAAUCAUGCACUGCACAUGAGCCAACAUUAUCCUAUAGUGCUUCUCCCUCCUGUCCAUUUGAUUGUGGGCCAUUUAGUUUGUUCAUGUGAGUCUGCAUCUUAGCUGUUGUGGGGGACAGUGGGUAGAGAUGUUGUUUAAUGAUUUUGGGUAUGGUCCAUCGUUUAACUUUUCAUCUAAUGCCACUCUGGAUUGCAGGUGUCAACAGCUGUCGUAGAGCCAUACAACAGUGUCCUCUCUACCCACUCCUUGCUUGAGCACACAGAUGUUGCAGUCCUCCUGGACAACGAGGCUAUCUAUGACAUAUGCCGGAGGUCCCUUGACAUUGAAAGGCCAACCUACACCAACUUGAACAGGCUGAUCUCACAGAUCAUAUCUUCGCUUACCACCUCCCUGAGGUUUGAUGGUGCUAUCAACGUGGAUGUUACUGAGUUCCAGACCAACCUUGUUCCAUACCCACGUAUCCAUUUCAUGCUUUCAUCAUAUGCCCCUGUAAUCUCUGCCGAGAAGGCCUACCAUGAGCAGCUCUCUGUGCCUGAAAUCACCAAUGCUGUCUUUGAGCCCUCAAGCAUGAUGGCCAAGUGUGACCCAAGGCAUGGGAAGUACAUGGCUUGCUGCUUGAUGUACCGUGGUGAUGUUGUUCCCAAGGAUGUCAAUGCUGCAGUUGCAACCAUCAAGACCAAGAGAACUGUCCAGUUUGUGGACUGGUAAGCUGUCUCCGUCACAAUUUUAGUUAGUUGCACUUAUUUGAUGAUGUCACAAGCACCUGUCCACUUGAUUGGCCAUGCUAACUAACCAAACUGUGGUGCCGCCAUACAGGUGCCCCACUGGGUUCAAGUGUGGUAUCAACUACCAGCCACCAUCUGUUGUCCCUGGAGGCGACCUGGCAAAGGUCCAGCGUGCAGUGUGCAUGAUCAGCAACAACACUGCCGUCGCCGAGGUGUUCUCACGCAUUGACCACAAGUUCGACCUGAUGUACGCCAAGCGCGCCUUCGUGCACUGGUACGUCGGUGAGGGUAUGGAGGAAGGCGAGUUCUCGGAGGCCCGUGAGGACUUGGCCGCGCUCGAGAAGGACUACGAGGAGGUCGGCGCAGAGGGCGCGGACGACGAAGGUGACGAUGGAGAAGACUAUUGAGUAGCUGGUUAAUAAGUAGUUCGCUGGUGGUUAAUGGUUGGGUUGUUGGGUAUACUCUGUAUGGUUCCAUUCCAUUGCGUACUGCUGCCGUGUGUGUUUCCAUUUUGUAUUAUGUGGUAUAAAUUGUUCGUAGCGCCUGGUUGGCCAUGAUUGUUCAUAUCGUCUUGCUUUGGUUUGCAAUGCUAUUCGAUGAAUUUCGGUGUAUAUCAGUAUAUGGCAUUCUGUUGCAAGUGUUCUGUGCUCUCAACCAUUGGGGAGGAGUUUGAUCUGCCCCGCGGCGUGUUGUCAGGUGGAUAUCAACCAAUGCAGGAUAUGGUUUGCAGGUUGCUCAUAGAUGCCUGAUGCUACGAUCACUGACCAUCAGUCACCAAUGCAUUUGAGGUGGGCAUGGUGUGUCUGAGCUGCUUGAGCCAUACGCUCAGGGUAUGAUGGCAUGUGGAGAUCGCCGUGCUCGUCUGGCACAUCCGGCAAGCGCUGGUCGCGCACAUUCCCCCGGUUUGUCCAGACUUGGUGUCGCGACUCGCGAUGCAAGAGGGAUGAUAGGUGAGACAGCUUGGAAAGUGUUUAGAUCUGUGCACGAGAGCCCCGCGACCUGGUGCCAGUCGAUGUGGGUUGGUUGGUUUGGCAUCUGGUAGGUUUGGUGGCCUCAUGACGCUUUAACUUGGGAUGUCUCGUUCAGGAUCUCAGAAUUAUGAUGUGUCGAAGAAGCGUAAGGCCGGGUAAAAGUUGGAACUCACCCGACGAGCGUGAGUGUGUGACCCUGGAGUUUCAUUAUCGAAAAAAUUAUCUGGCGGACUUCCUGACCCGCCAUGGAUUCAGGCCAGGUAGGCAGCAUCAUUGAAGUACUACCAUCUGGAGUAAGAGUCGGUAGGUUUUCUGCAGAUCAGCAGAUGUGCGUCCCAGUAGCUAUGACUCCACUGGAGCAGAAGCAAACUGAGCCCAACCCGGCAGCCCCAAGAAAAAAGGUUUGGGCUGGGAAAUUGGGUUGCCGGCAAGGCCUUGUUGCGUGACCAGACUCCGGCCCAAAGAGGUGGCAUUACAAUCACCUCCAAAUAACGUAGCUUAGCUGCUCUCCAAAACAAAAAUUAAAAAAAAAUAACGUAGCUUAGCUAGCUUGCUGACUGACGAUGCCAUGGUUACAAAAGAUGCCAUGGUUUGAUUUGAUGACAACAAUGGAGCCGUUGCCGAAGAUGGAUCCACUCGAGCAAGGGCACAGGCCGCCACUCAGUUUUUCUAAUUUCAAUGGGCAUAAAGCUUAUCUAGUAAAGUUAUAAAGGCACACAUUUUUUCCAACUAGAUCCGGCAGCUAUGGUGUCACGGAGGAAUUGCCACAAAGACGAACAUCCAAUGUGUUGGGGGUUGUCGGAUGGGAGAGAAUUUCCCGCAUAUUAUUGGAUGCAUGGACAGAAGUUCCCACCGUUGCGUGAGCGCUGACACUACGAAAACUGACACCGCCCAUGCAGCAACUUGCAUUGCGUUGGUUAGAGCAACUGUUCCGUUCGUUGCCAUUUUGUUCCCUCCUCCGGCAUGUUUAAACUAGCAAAGCAUAAGUAGCCAGGGGGGAUCAACUGCAUCUGCCGCCUGCCGAUAACACGGCCGAGUCACUCACAUGGAGGAGUUCUGAUGCUUUUGCCCACCCUGCUGAUUCCUGAUCCCUGAAUAUUAUCGCGUGUCCAGGAGUUCCGGGACCCAUUGCUCACCUGCUCCGCUAAAAAAAGUUGCAAAAAAAGAAAGAAAAAAUGGCUCUCCCCUCCUUGUCCUCGCAUUCCCGUUUGUUUCUGCCGCUGUCGCGAGCGCUCAGCACAAACUUUCUCUGCUCAGCUCUCGUGCAGGCUGGAGUUGAAGUGUUGAACCAUCGUCCGCGAGCUGCAACCGAGCCAAAAACCGGGAUCGAUGGGAUCGGACUCCGUUGGACGGGCUCGAUUGGAAGUGAAAGGUGAUUGGGGGGGGGGCCCGCGACGACAAAAGCUUGGUAAAUGUGCCGACACCUGGCAGCGCGGCGGCAUGUUUGGCUCAAAUUUGAGCGCUCCAACCCCAACAAGGCAGGCUCGGGCUUAUAUAACUUGGGCCCCAGAGAACGCGCCAUAACCUGCAUUGAUCGUGCACCAAUCCUCGAGGGAAGUUCGUUUAGCGAGUUCUUGGAUUUCCCCGUUGGAGGGACAUAUCCAAAUCUUAAUUUUUUUUACGGGAACGCCAGGGAAGGCCCUACCCGAUUUUUGUUAUAUAUAAAAAGGAAUAUGUACAGUUUACAAGGCUUCAGGCUCAAGGUAAAAAGAGAGAGUUCACAAGAGGCUACUCAGCCAAAUAUUAAUCUUCUGACUAAUGGAAGGUUUUGCCCUAAGGGUAACCUUUUCUAGCUCCGCUACAAAAACAAGCUCUCCAGCAGCUGAAUGAUAGAGUACCACCAUCAAAGAUUAUGCUGUUCCUGUGACACCAUAAGGCCCAUGACGCAAUUAUCACAAUCUCCCUAAAAAAUACUGGAUGCAAACCUCUCCCGUGCUCUGUCAAGAGGUUGGAGGCUGAGGUCCCAUUGAAUGUCCAAAUGUCCAAAUACAGCGAACAGGCCUGGCUGAAAAGGACAGUAAAAGAAUAAGUGACUGAUUGUCUCCUCUACAUUCCCAAUGCACAAAACACAGUUGUAGCUAUCCAAGUACAUGUUCCUUCCAUGUAGGAGGUUUCUGAUGUUAAGCUUAUCACGAAGGAGGAGCCAGAAGAAGAACUUGUGUUUGUUUUGAACCCUAGACUUCCACAUCUAUUUGAAGAGAGGGGAGGCCCGUAUAGAACCCUGGAGGCUUUUGUAAGCUGUUUUGCUUGUAAAGACUGCAGAUCCCCAAAUAUAAGUCCAGACAUCAUUUUGCAAAUCCCCCAUGUGCAAUUGGUCUAAAAGCUGCUGAAGUUCAGUCAGUUGGGCAGCAGCAAUCUGAGCUAUUGUCGGAGGCGAUAAACUUUCUCACCGAAAUAGAAUUUCUCUUUGAGAAAGAGGAAAGCUGCGGAAAUCUCCAUUUGAGCACACCUAAGUCUUAGAGAUCACUCCAGAAGGCAACUGAGUUUCCUUUCUGAGCAUUGCAAGUAGCUAUCAUGGAGAGGUUUUGCGCCAGAGAUAUGAUGUCCUUCCACCAAAAGGAUCCAACAUUCUGCCUUUCAAGGGGGAGUACCAUUCUUAUACAACCACUGCCAUGUGAGAUGCACCCAGGGUAUGUCCACUUUAUUAUAAAAUUUGUGAAGAAAUUUGAGGAGAAGCGUAGUGUUGUCAGUCCUUACUCCUUAGGUUGAUAAUGCCAAGACCACCAUCUUCUUUGCUCCUGCAAGCAUGCUCCAAGCCACCAAGCAACCACCCUUUUUGUCAGAUCACCACCAUUCCAGAGGACAUGUUUCUAGUACUUGUCAAUUUUGUCCAAGAUUUCCACAGGUAUCUUUAGAGCACACAUGUAGAAGGUGAGCAUAACUGAGUAUAUAGAAUUUACAAGAAUUAACCUACCAGCAUAAGAUAGCAUCCUUGAUGUACCCAUGAGGUGCUUUUCCAUACGUUCAAGGAUAGGCAUGAAAUCCACUACCGAGGUCCGAGUGGUUCCAAGAGGAAGACCGAGAUAAGUGAAGAGCAUGCUUCCAAGCUUACAACCUAAGGUUUCUGUUAACUCUGGCCAUUAUUUUGAUUCCUCCACAUUAAUGGGUACCAGGAUAGAUUUGUGGAAAUUUACCUUGAGACCAGUGGAAGUGGCAAACGUAUGAACUUUUUUGUAUAUAAGAUUCAAAUCUUAACUUUGAAAUACCAAUCUCAUUUGAUUAGUUUUGGACGAAAAAUUCAUACUACUUCGACCUUCUUUAGCAAGGCUCUACUUGGCUUUGGCUCCAGCUCUUUGCUACAGUGAUCGAUACUGUGCAACACCAUUUUGAGCUGUAGCGUGAAACCAAAACGCAAAACGAGGAGUAAAAUGGACUAAGGAGAAGAUAAAGUCGGUGAAGCAAGUUUAUUGGACUUCACCGGCUUCAUGCUACAGUGAUGAACAAUACAUGAAAAGUGCUAGAGCUGUAACCGAAGCCACGCCAAAUGCACCCUUAGAAUCUUAGCGUACAGGUAAUCUGACGAGAAACUGAUCCCUCGUCUACAGCCACAAGGCAAUCAGCUAAAUGCCUGUGAAAAUUGGCAAGUUUUGAGCAACACAUAUCCAUUGAAAUGGGAUAGAAAUUGAAAUAUAAACUCCAUUCCGCUUAUAUACCAGUGAUGACUGACGACUACCUCUUCUCCACACUCCAUUUUUAUGUACUUAAAAAAAUUGAAUGGAGGUUCUUCAAAAAGAAAUUGAAAUGCAGAAAAGAAUUUGAAUGAAGAAGUCUCAGACGAAAAUUUCUUUUUUUUUAGACGAAAAGUUUCUGCUACUGAAAAUCUUCAGCAAAUUCGAGUGCCGGAAAUUUGCGCAAGAUUUGAGCAACACUGGCGAUCUAAUCGACCGUCCUGAUCAAAUGUUCGUGGAAAAGGGAAGAAAUAAAAAUUUCUUCACCUAGAGAUAUUAGAUCCAGAGGAUCGAACUACACCGAAUUUAUCUCCACAAAGGGUACACCAAAAGAAUUGAAUUCCGAGAUCAGGUGCCAUUAUGCAGCUCAAGAAGAGAUACUACAUCCUGAAAAUUGGAAUGCACAAUGACUUGCUUUGCCACACGGCAAAAUUCGAAGCAUUUUCGCACAAAAAUGCAUCCACUGGCUACAACGAGUAGGAUCCUCGAUCUUCGUCUUCCUCUUUACACCGCGCACGCACACAUACACCUGACACCUGUUACUUCCCCGACAAUGGCCAACAUCCAGGAGGCGAAAGAGCAAGAACGACGACGCACGCACGCAGUUGAGGUGAGGCUAGCUACUAGCUCAGUGGCAGAGCGGCGAGAGAUCCCAGAGCGGGUCGCAGGCGGAGGCGUCGAGCACCCGGUCGAAAUACUCCUGCAGGCCGUUCAUGGCGUACAGCGACGCCGAGAUGCGCCGCUCCACCUUGAUCCGCUCGAACUCCGCCAUUUCGCCCGGCGCCGCGGUGGCGACCGGCUCCUCUUCCACGGGUGCGGCUGGGACGGCGGUGUCGACAGCGGCGAAGCUGUCCAGAGCCGGGAACUGGCCGAACGCCGAGUCGAACAUCCAAGAAUCGAACUCUUCGGCGCCCACGGCGGCGAACUCCGGCCGGUACACCUCACUGGCGUCCAGCGCGCCGCCGCCGCCAUUUAGCACGGCGUCGUCGCAGCUGACUGCGCUGCUGGAGCUGCUGCUGCUGCUGCUAGAGCCACCACAAGCACUAUUCGUGCUAUUACUAUUAUUAUUGCUAUUGCUAUUGCUAUUGCUAUUGCUAUUGCUCGUGGUGGGAGCAGGGGAGAUCGCCGCCUUCUUCUUCGAGAUGGCGGCGGCGGCGGCCGAGGAGGAGCUCGCCGCGGCGGCCUUGGCCUUCUUGACCUUCUUGUGGUGGAGGAGGCCGCGGAUGCGGACGGCGAGCGGGCAGUCCGGGGAGAUGCGGGGCGCGAAGUUGGUGCGGGCUUCGUUGCCGCGGAGGAGGCGGGCGGCCUCGUCGUAGGCCUUGGCGGCGGCCUCGGCGGUCUCGAAGGUGCCGAGCCACAUGCGGAUCUUCUGCGUGGUGUCCUUGAUCUCGGCCACCCACCGCCCCGACGGCCGCUGCCGGACGCCGACGAACUUGCUGUGGUUGUUGCUGCCCUUCUUCCGGCCCCGCGGCUUGGACGGCUUGGCCUGCGCCGCCGCCUCCUGCUGGUAGUAGUAGUAGUAGUAGCUGCUGUAAUCCUCGAGCUGGAACCCUGAUGACUGUGGCUGGAAGUGGAGCUCCAUUGGAGGCUUUCUUGGUGUUCGAGCUGAUGGUUGGAGUGGUUGGAGGGGAGAGGAGGAAGACAGGUGUCGAUCUGCCGGGUGCUUGCUCUGCUUUGGUUUUGGUGGUGAGCAGCUGAGCACAAGGGGAGAGGAUUUAUAGAGGAUUUCAGGUCACUUGGCAAUGGAGCCCUGUGGGGUUACUGUCAUGGGCUGGUCAAAUGCUGGUCUGCCUAUGAUCAUGUGAAGUGAGUGUUUGGGGGAUAAGGCAUCUUGUUGGGUUCUUUUUGUCCUUUCAGUUUGUUUUUCGGCUUUGCCCUUAUGCAUUGUCACUGAGCAAACAAAGCUAAGCUGGUGUUCUUUCCAUGAUUAUUUUUUUUAACUAAGUUUGUGCUAUUGCUGGAUCAACAAAUCGGUGAGCUUGCAGCCUUAGUGCAUCACCACUCACCACUAUUUGACCUUUUGGCAUUUUCUUUCAUUACUAUAUAUCAUAAGAAAGAUAAUCAUUUUACUUUUGACUCAGUACAGUGGAAAUUCCUUUUUCAAUGUCUCAAAGGGUUCAUGCCUGCAGGCUGCAGGCAGCAAGCACACUAGAGUUCAGCAAGUACAUGCUCCCCACUACAAUGCCAAGCACCGAGUAAAACUUGGAAGCAGGGGUCAGAGGGUCUACUUCAUCUAGUAACUUAAAUUACCAUGUCUACACCUGCAUGCAUUACCUUAACCGAAAUUUUUAGGACACUGAUUGGACUAGUUCUUCCAUAAUUCGCGGUUAUCCCUCUGGUCAAGCUACUUACAUGAGACCGGGUCCGAAUUGCACCAUAACCCGCCACAUGGCAGCAUUAGAGAGAAUGGCGACGAGCAAUUAGGAUACAAAGUAGAAACGGCUAAACAUCACCUUUUCAUCGACCACGCCCACUUGUGCUUUGUUUAUCUUGUUUCUUGACAAAAGCUGCUAUCAACCAAGUCUUUCUCGUCACUGGAUGAUGUACUCGUCCUUAGCUAGUUCAAUUUUGGGCGCCCAUGAGUUUUUGAAAGAAUCUUUGCACAGAUAGCAUAUGAAUAUCAUACAAAACAGCAGCCCGAAUUGUUUUCCGCAGUAAUAAAAUGCUUACUACCAAGCAUUAGUACUUGAACACAUCACAAAGAAAGUGUUACUUUGACAUGGACACGAGUGCCGGAAUCCGACUUCCGACUAGGGUUCGAUUCUUCGACUAGGAAAAACUUUAUUGAAAAUAGAUAAUAGUUAUUGUCUCUUCGGAGACGUCCAACAAAAUUACCGGGCGUAUGAAUGAGUACCGGAGUCCAACUCGGAUUUGUGAAUUGGCAUGGGAGUUGAGUAACACACACAAGAUUCUAGAUCCAGAUAUAUGAUAGCAGUUUUUCACUUUUUUGGAAGUUCCCUUUGACAUGGAAGUUGAGCUAACAGUUGACCACCCGUUCAGGCCUUCUUUUUGCAGAAUGAGCACUUGAGGAGUUCAAGGUAACAAUACGUCAAUAACUGGAGUGUUAGCGUUAUGAUUUUUACACUAGGAGACAAAUCUAAACCCUGAAGCAUCUUUGCUUUACCUUUGAGAAUAGCAACAAUUCUCUAGCCGGUUGAAACUGAAGCAAGCAUGAUGGCAAAGGCUUUCUUGAUCUCUCGGAACUAAAGAGACGGCACUGCUAGUUUAAUGAAACAGGUCUUCUCUUUGCAUACCACAAUGUACUGUUAGGAUUAACAAAGCUACAUUCCUUGGUAAGCAACGGGCAUAUUUUCCCUUCAUAACUUGAGAAAAGGUCAUCGUCAUGACUCAUGAACACGGACCCCUUCAACUCCAAAGGCUUGCCUACCUCACCUAUCAAAAAGGCAAACUUUGUCAAAUUGUGGCGCGUCAUUCCACCAAAUAAACUAUGUUCAGCUUGCUGAUUGAGCAAUAGGAUAGAGCACCCACAUUGGCCAUAGUUUUAUAGUCAGGAUGACUCCAAGAAGGCUAUGGCUCGUAACCUCUUGUUUCGUAGCAUGGCAGAUGCCCUGUUUGUCGCUGUCAAGGUGCAUUUCUUUGUCGAGCUCGGUGGGGCUACCUGCGCCAACAUGACAAGAGACCACUUUUUGGGCAGCAGCAAGGUCAAGAAAGAUGGCAUCUUGGCAUCGGUCCCGGGGGUUGGUUUCAGAUUUGUCUUUGUGUGAUGGAGCCGCCAUGGAGCAGGAGGAGAUGGACAUAUUCCAGCCGUGUUUUGGGAGGUAACCCUCUCGCGACCAAUUCUAGCUCAUUGCUGACGUCAAAACUUUUCGCAGCGAAGAUUAUCUGAAAGCUACCUUUGGAAUUUUUUGCCAUUGGUUCCUUUACGGUGACGAAUGCACCUGCUAUGUGGUUGUGUACUUCUAUUGAUUUGUUGAGAAGAAAACCCAAACAAGGACUAUCUGGCUAUAGGGAGCUGGGACGAUAAACAAAAGCAGCAUCGUAAUGCAUGCUCCUUCAAAUCUAGAAAGAACAUGAUACGGCUGCAUAUAUCUAAAACGAUUUCGGUUGGGGCUGCCAUUUCCAGCUCCCCAGCCGUCGGGAAUCUUCAAUUCCGCCGCAGAUUUCUCGAUGCCACUCGUAUGAAGACAAGGCCGCCAUGCACAUGUGCGGGCAUAUCAACGUUCAACGGAUAGAAUCGUGAAGUUAUUUUUCUUUCAACACAUGUUAAGGUAGCAAAUUUCAGAAGCCACACAAAAGGUAAAGCCACGUUCGAACUAUCAUCUGUUCGUAGUGGCUUUUUAACUCGAUGCCAUGCUCGACGGCUUUAACACAAGCUGGUAAACGUUUCGUUUUUCUCAAUUACUAACCACGGAGCAUGCACAACUUCAGCAUUUCCAAACUGGGCAUAUCUCAAAAGUUUGCAAGAAAAAAUUGGCAAAUAAAAUGACUACAAUUAACGGGCAUCAAAGCGAUGCAGAAGGCAAUCUCACUCAAAGUACAAUGAUCUCAUUACCAAAACUGAUGCAGCAUAGGUCCAACCCAACCGACAACAAACCUCACCAUUUCCCUUACACCUCUGUUGCCAGCACGUCUCAAAACCAUAUUUUGAGUACAUGACAAUAUACACUCUACAUCAAAACCAUGUAUGCAACUUCCAAUUCCUCCAAGCGACCGAUGCAUUCACAAAUUACCCCACCCAGAAAAAGAUUCAACACAAAAGAAUUGCCUGACAGUAACAAUGAUGAAAUAUCAAGAAGAAGAAAAAAUGCAGCCCGGACCUUGCAGCGGCAAAAAACAACUAUGUCGAUAAGAUGGACUGUAGCAGGAGCUGCUGCUGCGGUUGCAAGUUGGAAAAUGUUGACGCGAGAAAAUCUGGAGGUAAAGUCUGCUGGAAUCGCCUCAAGAUAUUGACCAUCUUGUUUUUUGUUUCAUCUGUAGCAAGCUCUGUCCCAGGGCACAAAACCUGCAGAUUGUACAAGGACAAUCAAUGAGUUCAUCCAUAACAGUUAAGUCAAACAUAGUUAUCGCUACAAAUUUACAACCCUACCAAAUUAGAGUACACAUAAAAAAAUUACCUCUGCAAAUAUUGAAAUAAUUUUCAGAAGAUACUGAUUCUGAGGGCCAAGAAUUUCUCCAUCCGACCUGCAAGCAGAAAUGGUUAUUAUAAACCGCAAAUGGGAUCCACCUUAGUUGGCAGAUUUCCAGUCAAGAACAUACCUCUCCACCAUUGAGCAAAGUUGCUCAUGUACAACUUUAGCUUCAAUCUUAUCAUCUUUUAUAGGCAAGCAACUAAGCCAUGCUGGAAUAACCUGAGAAGACUGUAUAGGUCAGUUUCGAAAAGUAUCAUCCACAAGCACAAAUAACUAUCCCCUGGCAAAGCUACAAGUGCAAAAUUAGGCUUCAGACACCACGCAGUACAGUUAGAAGCUGAGAGGUGUUCAGUUUGAGGAAUGGGUGGUCCAUCAGACCAUAACCUUCUCACUCCUCACAUUUUUGUUUGGUUUGGGAAAUAGGAUGAGUUGAUCCAUCACCACCUCAUCCCAACAAGCACAUGGUUAACUUAAUAAUGAAGAAUUGGCUUAACCCACCAAAAUUCAUGGGAUGACUCCAUAGACCAUUCCAUCCUAGACGAGGAGACUCCUCAAACCAAACACCCUAUUAGGGUUUCAGUGUGUCCCUUGCUCCUCACUCUCAGUGUCCACGCUCUCAGUCUCAGUGCGGUGAGAAGAAAGGAGAAAAAGGGUUGACCCUUUUCAGGAAUGAAAGAGUUACAAUCAGCACCGUCUUAAGAUUUUCAAUUCCAGAUUUCAGGCUUCACGCUGCUAAGCCAGCCUAGUACUGUGCCUCAGCCUCCAAGAGCAGGUACACCUUCCUAUUACCCCCCCUCCUUCCCACAUGAACUACUGCCUACGGCACACCGAGCAAUUUCUGGAAACAUGCCGUCACAAUCGGUAGGCAAUAGAUACAACCUCCAAAUAUUCAUCCAUUACCAACAACUAAGCCCUUGUCUCUAGCAAGUUGGGGUAAGCACAUAACAAGAAAAUGUUGGCCAUAUCAUCAGAGGAAAAAAAAGACAUUGAGAAUAGAGCAUAUACCUGGGCCGCGUCAAUGCCAUCCCGAUGAAAUUGACAUAUUUUUCCAAGUGCCGAAACAGCAUUGUCAUAGGCCAUAAUAUUGUCUGGAAGUCGUGCUUCAGGAUGUCGGAUAACAUUGUUUAACUUUGAUAGGGCCUCUGAAUUCAGAAGCAUAACAUGGUUGGAUUAGUUGUAGAAUGUUGAAAAAAAAGCAAAACAUGUAAAUACUGGAAAUAUAAAGAAACUACCUCCAACUAGAGGGCGAAAAACAUGACCACCAAACUCAGCACAUACACCCACACCAUAGACAGCAGCCUAAAUGAAGAGGUCCAGCAUUAUAUCAGUGUCCAAUGAGACCGAGUAAAACGGGAGAAUGGGUCAAGGGAACAUGAUAGAACAAAAAACAGACCUGCCGGACAUCUGAAUUUUCAUCGUUUGCUGCCUCCAAAAGGAAAGGAAGGUAUGUAUCAUAAUACCUCAAAGCUGAUUCACGGCAUUGCUCCGCAACAUCAUCAAAGAUACAGAUAGCUAUCCUUCUCUCCUCGGGUGUUUUAUCUUUUCCCUGCGAAUCAAAACAUAGGGUACCAAAAUAAGUAGGAAUAAAACAUCAAACUGAAAAAAAAGGUUGGAGCAUAACACUGCACAACAGGAAUAAGCAUGAAAAAACAUGCCAAUAACUAAUGAGAAGAAACCCAUUCGAUUCAUGUACAUAAACUAGCAUGCAGUAACUGAAUGCUCAAUAAAUAACAAUAGAGAGCUCACACAAAUAAACAAUCAGGUCAGGGUUCAGUUAGCUUACCAACAUUGGCGUAAUGUACACAGAGAGCUCAUCAAAGAACGGCAAGAAAGAAGCUUUGAAGGUUUUAAUCAAAGUACCAAGGCACUCGCUGACCUGAAAGUUUAAAUAUGUUAAAAGAAAAUUAAUAGGUAAAUCAUUUAACAUAACAUGCCAAAGACAGUUUUCUCAGUAUGACAAAACAGAUAAAACUUCAAAUCAUUUCAAAACAAACAAACCUGAUCAAAUACUUCCUCCUCCUGUUCAUUCUCUUCUUUGAGUAGCUCUCCUUCAUCAGCAUCAAAAUCUUCCGCUUUUGUUCUUUCUGUACGUUCCCUUUUCCUGGUUGCGCUGGCUAUAAUGACAUUUUUAAUCUCAUCCGAAAUAGCUCGUACUUGGGUUUCAUCGAGCAAACGACCAGAAAGCUGCUCAUGAGUAAGAUCAAUGGAAAAUUGAGUCAUAAAUAAACCAUUCAAGAAAAUAGAAUAUUUAAAAACCCAUGCGAAGAGAAACCAACAGAACUAUAACACAUAUUCUUUCACCCACUGAACAUAGUGAAAUGAUCCCUUUCUUGUCUUUUUGUGGUUAUAAAGUGAUAAUCACGGGCAAGCACAUGUUCACAUAUGCAGAUGCACAGAUUUCAGAAUUGUAAAAGGAGCAAAUCUGCGAGCACAACUUUCAGAUAAAAUCUGCGUGCACUUUAUAAGUUUCAUUCUAACUAGACAACUUUCAGAUAAAAUAUGCUAAGAUAUACUUAUUUGAUAACAUAGGGGUAGGUUAGGAAAAAAAGGUGAGGUCCUAAAUAUACAAGUGAAGCUUUAGGAAGAAUCUCAAUCAUGGAUUCAAAUUAUGAAGCAUAGAUGGUGUAAAUGCACAAACCUGCAUGCACUCAUUUAAUGAGUCCAGCAUGGAUGAGCACAUUUCUGUUUCUGGCUCCUGCACAAAGGACGCAAAAAGUUCAGGUGUCAGCAUGGGUAAAAGAAAUAAUAAUUCAACUACUGAGAUAUCUUUAAAUAGACCUUGUGAAGUGCUUCAACAAGAGCUGGAAUUACGUAGUCAGACAACUGUUUAACAUAAGACUCGUCACGGCCUUGAGCCUGUCCUUUCUCAACAGCCAACUUUGCCGAACGUAAGAGUUCCGGCAUUGCUGCACAGAUGUUCAGAAUUGUAAAAGGAACAAAUCUGCAAGCACAAAUAAAUCAUAGUGUAACAUGAAAAUACCCGCAACAGCAGCUCUUCUGACUUCUUCAUGGAAGUAAAACUUCAGCAGAGGGACCAACGUGGGGGCAACCUACACGUAAAUUUGUAUCCAAUGAUAUAUGCUGGAAAGGGGCAGCUGAAACUUGAAAGAAUUAGAUAUUGGAUAUGUUUAGUGCAAUAAUGAACCUGAUCAAUCCAUGGGAAGAAACCCUCCUUAAGCUCAUCAGCAUAACAGCACAGCAUGUUGCAAGCUGUUGCUUUCUCUUCCAGCACACUAGUUCGGAUUCCUAUUCUCUUGUCACCAAGUGUGAUUGUUUCAAUGCUGUAUAAAACACAAAUUAAGGGUAAGGGUAAGUGUAAAAAAAAUCAUACAAAGUUAAAAGUAGGAUGCUCUCCUUGUGUCAGCAGAAAGGUGAAUGAAUAGCAAAAGCUUGGCAUCAUCAAUGAAAAAAACCAAAACACAUGAAAAAACUCCAUAAAUGACAGUGUAAAUGUUCUACCGACUAUAGGCACAGUAAAUCUAAAAGCUUGUGUACGGUUCAUAUCAUUUCAUACUGCAAAUAAGUUUAAAAUUAGAAUGCUAAACUGAUGAUUUUGCAGCUUAAAACGAAUUUCUUCUAAAUUUUCUCCUUUGUACAUUCUCCUGGAUACUUCAGAUACGGGCAUAUAAAAAGUCAUUUAAACAAAAAAUUGUACAUUCUCCAGGAUACUUCAGAUACGGGCAUAUAAAAAGUCAUUUAAACAAAAAGACAAGCAUCAACCAUGGAAUUAAAAAGAUUCCAUAUUUGCAACUGUACAAGAGCGAGAAAGGUAUAGAUAUUUCUAAGUGGAAAUAGUCCAACAUAGUUGUCAGGUUUGCUAACCUAAAUCUCUAAUAAAGUAGAUAAAACAUUGCAACAGAAUGAUAACAGACCUAUCGUCAUCUGAUUCUAUUUCGUCAUCUGAUUCGGCUGAAGUAAUUGUCACAUCGGGCUUCAGCUGAGCAGACUGAAGCAAUGGUGGCAUAACAACACUCAUGUAAGGAAGGAAAUCCUGCCCAAGACAUUUGCAUAGCCUGGCCCAAGCCUAUCACAUGUGGUGGUAAGUGUUAGAUAUAUAUUUGAAGUGUUGUUAAGCCUAGUUUCAGAUGCUUUGAAACAUACCUGCAACAUGUAGCUGGUAAUUGGAUCAUCAGUUUCCAUUGGUGUUCCUUGCAAAGCCAUAAGUACUUCCAUAACCUAGUAAAGGGCAGAUGAUUAGAAUAAUAACACUUCCUCAAUUAAAUAAAAUAUUACAGCUGAUUGCACAUUUAGACUUAAAAGUGCAAGAAGAAGAAAUGACAGCCAUAAAUAAUGAUUUUAAUAAACAGAAAUAGACAUAAUUUUUCUGAAUUCCGAUAAAUUAGCAGGAAAAGCUUGAACAGUGAAACGGUUCAAGAAUACGAACAGUGGUUACAGAUCAAUCACAAAUUAUUUGCAACAAAAUAGAAGUACAUAAUUUGCAAGCUGGAACAUAACAUUACAAGUGAAAGAAAAGGCUAACCUGCCUCGCGUCGUCUCUGAACUUGUCCUUACCCACAGCCAUUCCUACCAAACUAAUACACUCCAUGGACUUGGCACGGAGCAUCCUAUUAGACUUGUCAGUUGCAUUCAUCAAAAUAGCUUUUAGGUAUGGCAUGACAGCAUCAUAGUAUUUCUUGAAGUGCUCCUGCAAGGCAAACAAACAAAAAGUUAUCAUAAUGCUAUCAGCUUGUUAUCAACAGCAGGCAAGACAGCACUAAAACAAUUUGUUAUAAUUGGUCAGCUAUAAAAAAGUUAGUCAAAUGCUAUAAAUUUGUUAAUAGGUGCUUCUGCCACUCAGGAGCAGACAAAUAAAAAGUUUAGUCAAAUGCUAUAAAAUUGUUAUCAUUACCAAGCUAUACAGCACUAAAACAAUGAGACAACCCCAUGAUACAUGUGAUACAUGACGACAGAAAUCCAUUAUGCACAUAACAAAAAAAAAUGUAUCUAUGCACUCCCAGGCGAACAGUUACCUGUGAUGAAUCUGCCACUGAAGCUAGGGCUGUCAAUGCUCCCUCUUGCACCAUUUGCUUGCCAUUCUAGAAAUAACAUGAGAAGUUAGCAUGUUUACUACCCAGAAUAACGAAUAUGCACAAAGCAAAACUGAAAUGUAAAUCAAUACAAGUAAACAUAUACCUGAAGAAGGACAAGUAAUUUGUUGACGAUUCCAUCCAGGUAAGGUGUCAAAAUUUCCGGUGUACAGUUCUCACUGAAGUUCAGGAUCGCAGAUGCAGCAUGUGCCUGUCAACAAGAAGAUUCAUACAGGAAGUCAAUAUAGGUUGCUUUUUCCUAAGAUGCAUGACAUAAUAGAUGCACAUGACUUCUGAUUGAGAAUAGAGACAUAAAGAGUUGCGUAGACUUAGCAUCUCAAUAAACGCAAAACACUUCAACAGCGUUCAAUUCAAGAGUCUUAGUUUUCAAAAAGAAAUGAUAAAAAAGUCAAAGUUAAUCAAGCAUCUACAAAAUGCUACCUUCUAGUAACAUUUACUUGUAAUGGUGAUGAUGGACUUACUAACUUGCCAGGUGAUUAAAUUACUAUUUAUUAAAGAAAAUUAUUAGCUUGAAGCUAAAUAGAACUUCGUUUUUAGACAUUCAUGUGUUAACUGCCCACAACUAUUUACAAAGUUUUGUUUCAGUAUGCACGAACAAUAACUUUCUUGAUCCACAUCAAGCCAAUUGAUGCAACAUUAAUUCUAGAAUAAGCAUUAACAAGUUGAAGAUAUGAGAUCAAGUUUUGCUAAAAUAAUAGAACUAACCUGAACUCGUGGGUUCUGGAAAUCAUCCAUAGCGUUCGCCAAUGCAGGCAACACUUUCUGGUGGUAAUGAACUUGCAAGUCUGGGCCCAAAUCCGUAGAGAGCUGACCAAUGGCAUUGAUUGCAGCCCAUCUCACACGUGGGUGAGGAUGUUGGAACCCAUUCAAUAUCAUCGAGACAACUUGUUCCAAAUUUUUAAGCAUAACCUGCCAGCAAAAACAGCAACCAAUGAUAAGAUGGCCUUGUCCAGCUAUUUUCCUAAACAUGAAAUCGAGAACAGAUAGCAUAAUGUGGUUUAAUAGUAGCCAACAGCUCUUAUAGAUUUGGCAAUUUAGUAUUUGUCACCGCUUCUACAUGUAGUGUUCAUUAUCCCAUUUUCCCAAUUCCUAAUUCAACAUGUCAGCUCAAGAAAUCCAUUUUACCUAUCCAAAACAGCAACAAUAAAUAUCUUUUGAGUUGAACAACAGAUUGCUGUAUACUAGCCAUACUUAUAAAGUUAUCAUGCUAACCUUUGCACAUCCUUCCGCAAUCUGUGCGAGUGUUAUGAGCGCAGCAUGGUGCUUCUGCCACUCAGGAGCAGACAGGUACUGUGGAAGCAGCUCAGAUGCAAUUGGCACAAUUGCAUUUCCACCAAUGGCGAUGGCAAGGCGGUCAAGGCACUCCUGUGCCACUCCAUAGUUGUUCCCUUCACCUGCAUCCUCAUCUUCGGUUUCAGCAGAGUGCCAAGCAGGGUCAUCCUCGACAUCAAGCAGCAUCUGCAUUAGCACUGCAAACAGCCUGCCGACAAACUGCGGGAGUCGACGCAUCAUUCCCGGUGCACGCUCCCUUGCCUCAGCAAGAGUAAUGACAAACUCAACCGCCAAGUGCCUGGUCCCAUCUUCCAGCUGUGCAGCCUCAGCAACUUGUAGCAUUGCUCCCACCACGUCCGCAAUCUGCCUCCGUAGGAACCUUGGCUCUGCGCCAGCCAGCUCAACGAGCAGCUCCAGCGCCUCCUGCGCCGAGGCCUCCUGGCCAGAGUUCAGGCAAUCCGUGAGCGCCCUCAUCAUAGCCGGGAGCAAAUCCUGCAUCUUAUCCCGAUCGGCGUUGGUUGGCAGGCACUGGACGAGGUUGACUGCGGCACCCAGGGCCGCAAUACGCACAUCAGGGGAUGUGGGGUGCGCCAGAGCGGCGGCGAGCAGGUUGUGGAUAGUCAUCAGAUGGUCGAGGAGCGAUUCAGCGAUGUAAUCCGCCAGCCUCGCGAAGAUAAGCAGCGCCGACUCCUGAAGGUUGGGCGCCUCGGGCCCCGACGCGGCGCGGAAGAGGAAGGGCAGCAGCUCGGCCCAGGCGUUCUCGGGCAGCAGCGAGGCAGCGAGCUCGGAGAUGGCAUCGCAGACCUUCUUGGCGAUGGGCUUGGGGGGAUCGGACUGGAGCGCGGAGAGGAGGUGCGCCUUGAGCGCGGACUGGCCGGCGAGGGAGAGCUGCGGCCAGAGCGGCGCCGGGGGCGAGGCGUUGUUGGCGGACGCGUCGGAGGACGGGGUCGGGGAGAGGACCUUGCGGAGCAGGACCCCCGCCAUGGCGCGGAGGUCGGCGGCGGUGGCGGGCGACGCGAGCGAUGAGGCGAGCCGCAGCGCGAGGGGCUCCGGGUGGGAGGCCCGGAGGCGGUGGAAGGCGGCCUCGGCGGCGGAGCGGUCGGUGUUGGAGGACGACAUGAGGGUCGACAGCAGCCCGUCGAACGCCGCCGGGUCGCCCCCCAGCAGCGCGGCGGCCGCGGCCUGGUCCUCGGCGGACGCCAUCGGAUCGGGGUCGAAUCCGGGGCGCGCGGCGGCGGCUAGGGUUUGAGGGGGGAUAGGGGUCGAGCCGGUGGUGGCGGCGGCGGCGGGAAGGGGAGGAGGGUGGUGGAGAGAGAAUUAGAGACACGGCCUCGGGUUGGGUUUAAUAUUAUAUGGGUAGGGUUUGGGAGAUGCGUGCGGCUCGCUCGUCGCGGGCGGGCGCGGCGGGGAGAGGCCAGGCGACCUGGUGGCUGGUGCGUUUGGGGUGGGUGACUGGGUGGGGCAACCGCCGCGACGCGAGAUGAGAACGAGACGAGAGCAGCGCGCUCGCCGUGUGGUUUGGUUGCAGGCCGCCGGGGUCGGGUCCGGCUUGGCGGGGUUCGGGCACCGCACGACGGUUUCGCGGGAUUCCCUUGUCCCCGUCAGCUUUUCCAUCGUCCCCCGUGGAUUUUCGCAUCGACUCGCCGAUUUCUGCGUCCGCCGAAACCGACCGCUCGGCUCGUCUCGGUUCGGCACCCGCUCGUGCCCCUAUGGCAUCCGCCGCUUCGCCGAUGCUUCCUUUUCCCUGCCGCGCCGCGUCUUUUCGGCGAGCGGGCACGGGGGGUUCUGGGUUUUACAGCUGGGGGGUGUGAGCUGGGCGCGUGGAUGGAAUGGAUGGACAGGAGAAGGUGGUGACGCCCAUGGAGGGCCAUGAUUGGGCAUUGAUGGGUACAGGCAGCCGGCCGGGCGCCAUCUUCCCCGCGUCAUCAUUGAUGCACGGCUCAGGGGAACAGCAGCGGCCCAACAGGGCUCGUGCAAGCUGCUGGCAAUCUUGUGGGUUGACUGAUUUCCGGUACGAAGAGUGGGAAUGUUUUGGUUAGCUAUCAAUGGUGUGUAGCACGUAGUACAAUAGUUACGUGUGCAUCACCGUAUCAAUGCAAAACAAGUGGUGAACAUACGGUGAUUGAGAUCCCGUGUGUUCAUUCCCAGGGAUUAUGAUUUCGUUUUUUGAAUUUUUUCGGUCCUCAAUAAAAACACCAAAUUUCACGAAUUCCAGCUGAAAUUUGGACUAAAAAGGUAAAUCUUUCAACGAAGAGAACAAAAUUCCGGGCAAACAGUUAUUUCAGUCACCAUCGAAAAGACCAAAAUUUCACGAAUUUCAACCGAAAAUUCACGAAUUUCGAUCGAAAAUCUACGAAUUUCAACCAAAAUUUUGAACCAUGUUCAUUCCAUUCCUUUUCGAUAGAGGUGUUGUUUGCUCCAUAAAUUGCGACGCAAAAGCAAGCAUACCCCGUAAAAGUUAUUAAAGUAAUGAGAAUUUGGCAUGACGUCAACAAAGUAACGAGAAACUGACGUAACAUUAAGCCGUUUACAAAAUAACGGAAACCGACAUGGCGUUAUGCUUUUAACGAAGCAGACAGAAACCGACGUAGCGUUAAACCGUUAACAAACAAACAGAAAAACUGGCAUGGCGUUAUGUCGUUAGCAAAGUAACAAGAAACUGACAUUGCGUUAGGCCACCGACAUUGUUCGGUUCCCAAGAAUAACGGAAAUGGAAAGUGGGAAGCUUCCACUAAAGGAGAAGACGACACAUAGAAAGAGGAAGGUUGUUGUACGCAGUGGAGCUGCAUCUUCUGACGUGUCGUAGCUAUCGUCAUCGACGGCUAUCACGCAUUAUGUAUCACUUCUGCUUUGGCGGUAUCAUUUAGCAUCCGUGGUAAUCUGUAGAAUGUAAGUUCCGUCAAACUACCACCAAGCAAAUUACACAUGCUACCCUCAAGGUAAACCAACUUGCCCUCUUUAGCCUCCUCGUAGCCUCGAUGAGUUCCAUUUCCCUAUUGCAUGCGGAUGCUGGUAAGCAUCACACAUCAUAACUACAAAAGCUUUCUAUGAAACCUAAUUCACCGGCGCCACGUUCUUGCACUAGUUGAAUAUUUCAUAUUAAGAUCGCAAGAUAUACAUUGGCUUGGAGGGAUUCACAUAUUAAACGGCUAGGCAAUGCAAUCUAAUUACAUUAUAAAAAAAUGUGACCAAACAUUAUCGUAAGUUAACCGUCAUGAUCAGAUUUGGCCUAGACGCGCCCCCUCCCCGAGGGUUUCUGAGCCGCCGCUGCCGUCGCAACCUCCCUCACCUCCACCACCGCUGGUCCCCCUCCCUUCCCACCUCCGUCAUCUCGCCAGAGGUCGGAGGGAGUGGGGAUCCAUCUCUCUAAUAGUUUUCUUAGUAGAUCGAGUUCAGUUUAGGGUUUAGGUUUCUCCAUGCUGAAUUUCUCGAUAUUGAAGAUUUGUUACCUCCUUCUCCUUUCCGUCAACGGCGAGGAGGUAGGGUGGAUUUGGUCUCUCCAUAGCGACUCCGAUGAAGAUGAUGGCGGCAACUACGACGUCACCAACUUCCUUGGCAUGACGACAUGGAGAAUUAGGUUUCUGGAUGGCGACAUCAAGGCGGGGAUGAUGUUACCAUUGUGGAAUAAUUUUCUCAGCCCCUUCUCCGUUUUCUUAUGGUUAGACCUAGCCACGAUGAAGGACUUGUGAGAAUAAAUCUGCUCCUCGAGCCGAUUAUAUUUGGUUUUGAGUUGGGAAGAUCAGGUGGUUUUCCUUAUUCUUCGGUGGCAGAAGGAAAAAUAAGGAAGACACAAGAAAAAAAAAGA
rnacentral:lncRNA from 1 species